rnacentral:lncRNA from 1 species
UAGGAUUUAGGGUUUAGGGUUUAGGGUUUAGAGUUUAGGGUUUAAGGUUUAGAGUUUAGGGUUUAGGGUUUAGGGUUUAGGGUUUAGAGUUUAGGGUUUAGGGUUUAGAAUUUAGGGUUUAGGCUUUAGGGUUUAGGGUUUAGAGUUUUGGGUUUAGAGUUUAGAGUUUAGGGUUUAGGGUUUAGAGUUGAGAAAUGAGGUUUUGGAGAUAAGAUUUCAAAUUUUGAAAAAUAAAAAAAUUAAAAUUUUCAAAAGAUAAAAUGCUAUUUUGGUCAUUUUAGUUUUUAAGUGCUAUUUUUGUGAUAUAAACUUAGAAAUGUGCUAUUUUGGAGAUUUGUCCCUAACUAAUCAUAUGGAUUAUCUUUAUUUUCUCAACUAAAGUCGGCAUUAAAAUAUAUGUCAAAUGAAUGAUUAGAUGUUUGGUAUUUACUGAACUACUUGAGUUUCUUUAAAGUAGAAAAUAUUAUCUUCAACAAACCCUUUAAGACGCGUUAACGCCAUUCCCAUUUAUAUUUUUUACUAAUUACGGCUUGUGGUUAUGAAAUGUUCUGCAUUAUCAUCAUGACUACAACAAACAUAGAUCCAUAAAACAAUGCUAUAAACAUUAACAUCAUCGAUAAUUGUAGAAACCCACUAGUUCAUCAUUACAAUAAAAUAGUCAAAGCGUCUAUUGGAUUUUGCAAGGUAUAUUAAUUGUUCAUAUAUCCUCUCUAUUUUCUGAUCUCGAAUUUGUCUUUGCACCACGAGAAGCCAAUAUAUCCGCCGAUUUAGUUGAUUAAAUGGCCUCUUAAGUCUAUUGAAAUGAUUUGUGGUAAGUUCAGGUUUAAUGAAUGUCUUUUCGAUCAAAAUUUCAGAAUAAUUGAAUAAUGUUUACCUAGGGUAUCGACUGACUCAUCGAACUCAAUUGGAAACCUUCCAAACUAACAUUAAUUUGCUAUAUCAAGUUCAAAGGGUCUAUACUUUUCUAAGACAUAACUUAAAUUCAAACACUGAAAUCAAGAAACUAUUCAAGCUUGUUUAUGUAUGAUUUUAUUAUUAAACUAUAAUUCUAGUAUGUGAUUUAUUACGUACGUAAGAGGUCAUCAUAUGGUUUUGCUUAUAUUAGCUCGGUGUUUUGUAAAGUUUUUUUUUGUAAAAUUGUAAAGAUAUUUUUGUAUGAUGAUAUCAUUUCGCAAGUAUGAAAAAACGUGUGUGCAUAGAAACUGGAUAGAAUUCAAGAAGUAAAACUUAGAUGCAGAGGCAAUAAAACAUAAAUAUUUAAUGACACGAAAAAAAUAACAGGCUAAAUCAACUUUGUAGACGUCGAUCGAUUCAUCUUGUACGUGCAUCGAAUAUAUAUUAUAUAAAACAUAUAUAUUAACUUAAUAAAUGGAACAGACAUAUAAAUUGUUAAUUUCAGUGAUUUAAAAUUACAUUUAUAGAUCGAAAAGAACAAUUUAUUUAGUAUUUUUUUUUGUAAUUGAUAUCUAGUUUUGUUAUUUUCUGAUGCUUAUGGUUGUUUUACUCUACUGUUUUUACACUAUAGUGAUGGUAUCCCCCUAUCCAUUCUACAAAAUUUACACUAGUCCACAAGUUUUACACUGAUUUUGUUAUCCCAGGCAACGAUUUAGUUAUCCCAGGCAACGAUUUAGUUAGCUCUAUAGUAACACUCGAAGUUUUUGGAUCUAAGAAAUAUCUAAAGGAUCCUUUUUGGAAUGAUGGCAACUUUUAACAUAUUUUCAACGGUGAAGCGGUCCACACGCACAACUUCCUCCGGUGGAGCAACUACCAUAUGACAUGUCUCUUUUAGGAUAUGAUCGAAUAUUCAUAUUCAUAAUCUAUAUUGUUAUACAUAUACAUGAAUAUAACAGACCCAAAAAAUAUCUGAAAGCUCACUACCUAGAUUCAAACUAUUGGAUAUUAAUAGGGGUUCACAUAGUGUUUCUUACAACAUUCCUCCAGUUUGUUUCAAAAUAUCUAGAAAGUGGAUUACGUAUAUAUGAUGUGAAUGGAUCAAGUUGUGUAGUGGAGUGAACAGGAUGGAAAAUCCGGACUGAUACAUCUCAUCUAUGUAAUUUUUCUUCCAAAAAAAUGUCGAAUCGUAAAUAUAUAGCUUAUGUGCCGACAAAAAAGUAUAAGCUAUGUAGAAUUCAUAUAUGCAUAUUAACAAUACAUGAACAUUAAAUAGAAAAUGUAAUGCAUAUUUUAAAGUUUCGAUUUAGUCCAUAGGUUUCUAACAACAUUAUGUGAACCUUACCUUUUAUCACGUGCUGGACUCACUAGUCACUAGGGGUCACUACUAGUUCCACCCAGAUCCCCCAAUAUUACACAACAUUACAUAAUUAGAACUUUGAUUGGCUUAAAUGCAAUAGAUGUGAAUGCAUAUAUGAAAAUCGCCCUAUUGCAGUUUAAAGUUUUAUUGGAACUCUACUGUAAGAUGUAAUCGAAGUGUUAGUAGCACAUUGGUAAGUAUUGUGCCCUAGGUUCAAACUAUUUUUAGUACAGAAGAUUACAUUUAGAUUAAAAUAUUUUAAUGUUGUAGUAUGAAAAUAUAUAGUUUUCAUAUUGAAAAUUUCAAUGAAACAUGAAUAAUAAUAACAUAUUUGGAAUAAGUUACUUAUCAACAACUAAUUUUAAGUUUAUGAUAAAUCCAAAUUUAACAUGUUGACUCCAAAUCUAAAAAAGAUUUGAGGUCUAAUCUGGGAACUCAUGGUAUAUAAGAUUAGAGGUCUAAAACCCAAAUUUUUUCUAUUAACAAAAAAAGUUGUGUAACUAGAAACUUUUUUUAACUGAAAAAGUUUGGGAACUCAUGGUAUAUAAUAUUGGGAAUUUGGGUUUGAUAGCUACAAAACAAAACAUAAUUAAAUUAUAACCAAAGAAAAAAGUACUUCCAUCAUUUAUGUAAUAUAUACUAUAAUACUCUUAGUAACCGGUUAAUGAAAGAUGAAAAUAUCUCAUCUUCUUUUUCUUCGAUUAACAACUACCAUCAAUCUACUUCCAUCUCUACCACCUUGUCCUCCGACGCCGUUACAAUACGAUCAUCACUAAUUCUCCACUGUGUUUUGUAUUUAUAGAUUUUUUUUCUAUAAUCAGUAUCAUUUUUCAUAAAUUAUCACCUCAUUCAUAUUCACAUUUAUCACUGAACUACCAUCACCAUAGCCAUGAAAUCUACAGACGGCAUUAAGGUCGAGGCGCCCUCAUUUGUAUCGUAAGUUUUUGGUUAUACUAUACUAUUUGGACAAUAUGUACUAUAUUAUUUCCUUUGUUACUAUUUUAUUUCAUAUGCUUCAUAUUAUGUACUACAUGCAUAUUUUGAUAUUUGGGUUAGAAUUUAUAUUUUCUUUUAAAGUUUAGUGAUUAGUGUUUUGGGUUUAGUUUAUGGAAGGUUUGGAUACCUCAUUCAUGCAAUCAUAAGCAUUUCAAAAUUUGAAAAAUAUGUACUAUGCUAUUUCGUUUGUUACUAUUUUAUUUGAUAAUGCUUCAUAUUAUGUACUGUGUGCAUAUUUUGAUAUUAGGGCUAGGGUUUAUAUAGUGAUUAGUGUUUUGGGUUUAGUUUAUGAAAAUUUUAGAUUGACAGAGAAUAAACAUUACUUCCACUAUUAUUAAUUUCAUUAAUAUGAACUAUACCAUAUGAAAAAUGUUCUAUUCUAUUUACUCUGCUUAUCUUCUUCCAUAACAUUAUAUCUUUCUCCGAUCAUCACAAUCAUAUUAAUCUUUGUAUGAAAGAUGACUGUGUCUUUUGGAUUGACAACCUAUGUUUCAUCUUUAAUCACUCUUGCCGUAGUCAUCAUCUUCAUAGUCUCCGCCACCGCCGGUGCGAUAACCAAUAUCACCGUUCUGAUAACCACUACCGCCGCGACCAUACCGCAAUAAUCACCACAAAUAUUGAUUACAGUUUUUUUUUCUUUGACUGGCAACUGCCAACUGGUUCUAAAAAGGGACAAAACCGGGAAAAUAUAGCACAAAUGCUAUGAGAUCUAAUAACUUCAAAAUUAGUGACAUAUUCUUAAUUUGUUGGUGAAAUAUGACUAGUUCACAAAUAAGCCCUGUAAUAUUGGCACAUGGCAAAAAGAAAACUACCAAGUAUAUUUGGGUCAGCAUGUUAUCAUCUUAUACUAAUAAGCGCAAUUGUAAAAGGCCUUUGCACCAAGGAAAAUGUUUACAAAACCCACCAAAACAUUUAAUAUAAUUCGACACCGCCCACUUAUGUAUUUUCUUUUGUAAACACCUUUAAAGAUAAACAUGCAUGGAUUAUCCAUAACAAUAAAAAAAAAUCCCAAGUCGGGAAAAAAAAAAAUAUCCUGCCACCACAAGUUUUAUGAAAACGAAAUUUAUUUAAUUAAACCUACCAACACUAAAAACAAGUGUAAAAUAAACAAAUACAACAACCACUAAAAUCUCGCCACGUACAAAACCCACAGUUCGUAACAGAGUGGUGGUCUCUCUCUCUCUCUCGGUCUCGAUUUCUGAUUUCUCACUGUACGACCAAAACUAAACCACAGAGACACAUAAAAGAACAGGCAAACUAAUUGAUCCGCUGCUGAAGAUCUCGAAACCAUGUCUUGUUUGGGUAGGAUCUUGUCUGUUUCCUACCCACCUGAUCCUUCCGGUUCGCGUCUUUCAGUGUCAAAGCUGUCUUCUUCACCAGGGAGAAACCGAAGGCUGAGAUGGCGUUUCACGGCCUUGGACUCAGACUCUUCCUCCCUCGAUUCUGAUUCCUCCGACAAAUUCGCUGCCGGGUAUUCAAAUUAAGCUCUUUAAACCGAUGUUUUUGUUAUGCCCAUGAGAGUUGAACCCGUAAAGUUACAGACUUUGGAGUUUAAUCGUAUUUAAGUUUCUAAAUUUUGAUUAUUUUUGGUGCAGCUUUUGUAUCAUAGAAGGACCUGAAACAGUACAGGACUUUGCCAAAAUGCAAUUACAAGAGAUUCAAGACAACAUUAGAAGCCGUCGAAACAAGAUCUUCUUGCACAUGGAAGAGGUUUACUUUCUUAAAGUGGAAACCUUUUAGUUUCUAAAACUGUCUUCCUCCUUAGUUAACUAUCUGUUAAUACAGGUACGGAGGCUAAGAAUACAACAACGGAUUAGAAACACAGAGCUUGGAAUCAUAGACGAAGAGCAAGAACACGAACUACCUAACUUCCCCUCCUUCAUCCCAUUCUUACCUCCAUUGGUAAGUAUUUAAACACUUUCUUUAGAGGAUUUUGUGUGUUUUGAAUUGAUCAAUAAAUACACUUUCAUUUUGCUAGACUGCUGCCAAUUUGAGAGUCUAUUACGCAACUUGCUUCUCACUCAUUGCUGGGAUUAUCCUCUUCGGUGGCCUACUAGCUCCUACUGUAAGCCCUUUGCUUCAAGAUUGGCAUUUACUCCCUCCCUUUUGAAAAAAAUCCACGCUUUAGAGAAUUUUUUUUGUUUCAAAUAGAUAUAUCUUCAUUUUCAAAUGCAUUAUUUAAUGGUAAAUUAUAAACUUCAAAAAAUGAUAAUUGUGUUUAUUGAAAUUUAUUGGUUAAGUUGCGGAAAAUCGUUAAUAACAAAAAAAAAACAAUUCAUUAAUAAUCAGUAUUUAAUAUGUUUUUUGAAACCUUAGAGGGUGUAUGAGUAUUACUUUGCUUUAUGUAAUAAAGUUUUUGAUUUGUAACUUCUGCAGCUAGAGCUGAAGCUAGGUAUAGGGGGCACAUCAUAUAAAGAUUUCAUUCAAAGCCUUCAUCUACCUAUGCAAUUGAGGUUUAGUAUCUCUCUUUAUAUACAUUUGCAACUUUAUAGAAAGGAUGCUUAACUCUUGUGUGUUCACCAGUCAAGUAGACCCAAUAGUGGCGUCAUUCUCUGGAGGAGCUGUUGGUGUGAUCUCAGCUUUGAUGGUAGUUGAAGUUAACAACGUGAAGCAGCAAGAGCACAAGAGAUGCAAAUACUGUCUAGGAACUGGUAAUUAUGUUUCCUCUUCUUGUUCAUAAAGAGAUUUAAGUUGUUGGUUUUAAUAACUUUUCUUAUGUAACACACACAGGGUAUCUAGCAUGUGCCCGUUGCUCUAGCACAGGUUCUCUUAUUAUAUCUGAACCAGUCUCAGCUAUUGCUGGAGGGAACCAUUCUGUAUCAACAUCCAAAACCGAAAGAUGUUCAAACUGUUCUGGUGCUGGAAAGGUAUAAACCAUCAAAAACCAAAACCUAAAAGCCCAAAACCAAAAAUGUGGAUGUUGAAUUGUCUGUGUUUGUUGUUCAGGUGAUGUGUCCGACAUGUCUGUGCACAGGAGUGGCUAUGGCUAGCGAGCACGACCCUCGUAUUGAUCCCUUCCUUUGAUUCCUCUCCCCCCCCACAAAAUCUAUUUGUCAUUGUAACUAAAAAUGGUAUGUACUAAUGAAUAAUGAGAACUGCAUCCUUUCAUCUGUAUAUGUACACACACAAUGACACAAAUGAACUUAUUACAUAAUGUUAGAUUUUUCUUCGUCCUGUAACACUCCGAAAGCUCAACACUCUCCAGAAUUAGAGCCAGAAACGAAACACACUGUUUCUAGGCUAUAUGUGGCUUAGAGUUGAGUACACUACUUAGUAGGUCUGGGCGUUCGGACCCGUCGGUUUCGGUUCGGUUGAUUCGGAUUUUUGGUGUUAUGCUCAUAAGUCCCUUUCGGGUUUUAUUAAUCUUCGAGUCGGGUUUGGUUCGGUUUCCUUUCGGAAAUGUUUGAAAUCGUCCAAAAAUAUGUUUUUUAAACCUCAAAAAAUGAUAAAUAUUUUUUCAUAAUUAUUCACAAAUCUAAUUAUAAUUAGUUAAAAUAUUUAAAUUAACUAAAAAGUAUUCAAAAUAACAAAUAAAACAAACUACAAAAAUAUUUUGAAUACUCUAAAAUAUCUAAAUCACUUCAACAUAUAUAAAAACAUCAACACAUUUAACUAAUUUCGGAUAUCUUCGGAUCCUAGUUUGGAUUUUGGUUCGGUUCGUUUUAUAACCAAACCCCAAAAUACUAAGUUUAUAAGUCUCGUUCGGAUAUUUUUGUAUAACAGUUUGGAUCCGGUUUCGGUUUUUCCAGUUCGGGUUUAGGUAGGAUUGGAGUAAAAACGCCCAGGCCUACUAGUUAGUAGCUUAGUGAGUAAAAUUAGGUUCUAAGAUGAUAAUCGCUUCUAAGUAAUACUUUUCACUAAUUCUCAGCUUACUGAUGUUGACACUGUUACUUCUUCAGGCUCCAAAUCUAGUUUACUUCCAUGGAAACUUCAUUAAAACUCAUAUGAAAAAGUACAGUACAAUGGUUUGGUUCGGCAGGACAUAACCAAAUUAUACAAUUGAAAGAAACACAAGUCUGUAUCCAAAUACAGUUAGCCCAAGGAAGGAAGAACUGGAGAUUAUUAUUUGAAGGGACACAGUUAGUUAGUCCCUAGUGCCCAUUCUCGCAGCGGUUGUCUGAGCUCUCAAGUAUAUCUUGAAUGAACUUAAUGAACGAGCAGAGUCCACCAAAGAAGUUAUGAUCAAUCACACCGUUUCCAUCAAGAACAUGCGCAAAAUCCACCAGCUUCACUUGUGCCCUCCUCUCAUCAUCACCCCCUGAUUCAUUCUCAUAAACCAUCAAGAUCGAGCAAGAGUUGAAAUGGUAAAGCGUCUGCGUCUCAAACCACGCCUUAAGCUCCAGCAACUUCUCCAAGAUCCCAUUAGAACCUCCGUAAACUUCUGACGCAUAUGCACAGUCCGGUACCGAGUCAGCAGAGGGGUUUGACGAAACAAACUUCCUUAAAGCCAUUCUAGCACCAUCAACUUUAUACGCAAGAACAACCCUCUUGUCUGGUCUCCAGAACCUCGACUCCUGGCAGUCGAAAAUCUUCAAACCCGAAACCCUGAACCCCAAAUAAACCGUGGUGGUGGCACUAUCUUUCUUUAUACAUUUGUUAAAAUACUCUUCGGACACGUCAGGGUACCAAGUCCUAGACCCAAUCUUAACAUCCAUAACCGAAGGCUUCACGUAACCCGAAACAACGUCUUCAAGAACCAUGUGUGGAAGCUUGCCUGAUCCAUCAGAGGCUUCAGCCAGCUGAACGCCGUGGUACACAGGGAAGUAUCCACGGAUGUGGUCAGGAACGUUCUUGUUGGAGGAGAAGGACUCGUAGAACUUAGCCUCGUUUUCGCCGCGAGCAUCGCCUUGAAGCGGCUUGUAGAAUCGUCCUCGGUCGUCUACGAGGGGGCCUAGCUUCCCAUCUUUGGCGAUGUGGCCGGCUACUUGGUGUUCAGGGACCUUGAGCAUCUUUUCUGCAACGCGCACACACAGUGAUCUGAAAGAGUAACAAAAUCGGAUCAUUGAUGUUGUAAAGUUUCAUCCUUUAACCAAACGCAGAGUCCAGAUACGAUGUCGUUUUUAGAGAGAUUAUCAUAUAGUAUAACAGAGUUCCUCGAGUUCAUCGAAGAAGUAGAGAAAAUGAAACAAACCCAGAAUCAUACCAUCAAUGAUAAAUAAAUUGAAAUCUUUAAAAAGGUAAAAAAGCGUAUCGAAAAGUUAAAAACUUUCGAUUAAAAUAUGAAUUGAAUUUUAAAAAAAUGCGAUCUUUGUUAACUGAGUUGGAGCAAGACGAAGAACAUCCAUCAAAGAUUAAUCGAAGAGCAUUGAGGAAUAAAACAUUACCAAAGAAAUCUCCACGGAGAGAGAGAGAAUCAAACAAUGAGCAAAGACGGAACAACAAGUUGUGUGAUUGUUGUAACGAAGAAAAAAAUGCUAAGCUAUCUUGUCGGAAAGACGAAUAACUGGAUCAAUUCUCUUUAUGAAAUUGGUUUAAGUGCUAAACCGGACUCGUGAUAAGAAAAUUAAUCUAAACCGGGUUUUAGAGAACCGGUUUGGAUUCUUUUUUGGGUAAUUGUUGUAAUUGGUCGGAAUAUUAAACCGGAUUCGUGGUGAGAAAAUUAAUCUAAACCGGGUUAGAGAAAACCGGUUUGGUUUAUUCUUUUAAUUCGGAAACCGGUUUGAGUAAAUCAUCGGAUGAUCUUUUAAAAUUGGCCGUCAUCUCCUACCUCCGGCUGGCGAAAUUAGGGUUUUGGUAAUGGUUUCUAAUUCGAUUCAAUUCUUUGAUUAUCUUUUUAAUUCAAUCAUCCAUGGUUCUGGGUUUUUGAAAAAACCCUAACUUUCGAGGUCAUUGUGCAUAAAUGUAUCGUCUUUGUAUUCCAGAAUCUGUGGAAGCUUUGCUGAUAUCAAUCAAAUGGGUCGUUUCAAAAACGUAAGUGGAAACACAUCUUUGAUGAGUUUCUCUGUAUUCACUGUGUUUCUAACACUUUGUGAUGAAAUUAGAAUAAGAAGGGUAGGGUCAAUGUGAAGCCUAUUGCGAUGAAGAAGAACAAUCAAGCGAAUGUUGAUCACGUCACCGGUGACAAGAUCCCAAAAAGCUUCGUCUUUUCGAGGACGAAGCUUCCUGGCUCUGUCAAACAGCUUCAGAUGGAUUUGAGGAAGCUCAUGCUUCCCUACNNNNNNNNNNNNNNNNNNNNNNNNNNNNNNNNNNNNNNNNNNNNUCCCUACACUGCUCUCAGUCUUAAGGUCAAGGGUUUUAAUAUAUGUUUGGAGGGUUUGUGAUUUGAGUGACCAUUUACUGAUGCAAAAGCUGUUAACCUUUCACAGGAGAAGAAGAGGAACACUUUAAGAGACUUUUUGAAUGUAUCAGGACCAAUGGGUGUUACUCAUUUCCUCAUGCUAAAGAAAACAGCGUCUGCGUUGUCUCUGAGAGUAGCGAGAACCCCUCAGGGUCCUACUCUCACGUUCAAGAUUCAUCAGUACUCGUUAGCUUCGGAUAUAGCUCAGUCUCAGCUUCGGCCUAGAUGUCCUCCAGAUCUUUUCAAGAACCCCCCUUUGGUAAUCAAUCUCAGUAUCUCUUAGUUACUUCCGGUUUGGUUUUGCUAACAGUUGAGGGUGUUGUCUUUGUUUAGAUUGUACUUUCUGGAUUUGGCACUCAGGAGCUGCAUCUGAAGCUAGCAACGAUCAUGUUUCAGAACAUAUUCCCAGCUAUUGAUAUCAACACUGUAAGUUUGUUUGUGCUUUUUAUUAUUACUGGUUGUAAACUUGUUUUCAGCUAAUUUGAUUGGGAAAUAAUAUGUCUGUCAGGUCAAGCUCUCUACAUGUCAGAGAUUAGUACUCUUGAACUACAACAAAGACACAAAACUCAUUGAUUUUCGGCAUUAUUCCAUAAGGCUUCAGCCUGUAGGAGUGUCUCGUAGGCUCAGAAAGUUUGUGGAAAAGCAUGAGGUUCCUGAUCUUAGGAAUCUGCAGGAUGUUAGUGAUUUUGUCACCAAGUAAGGAUCUUAUUUGAUUCCAGUGUGAAAUGAUUAUUGUGAUUGUUUGGUGGAUUUUAUUUUCAGGGCUGGGUAUGGAUCAGAGAGCGAAGGAGAUGAAGAAGCGGCUACAGUGACACUAUCAUCUGAUCUAGGCAGAGUUAAUAGGGGGUCCACAAAGAGUGCAGUGAAACUGCAAGAGAUUGGACCGAGGAUGACUAUGCAGCUAGUUAAAGUGGAGGAAGGGUUGUGUUCAGGUGGAAUCAUAUUUGAUGAAAGCGGUAAAUGCUAUUCUUAUCCCCCACAUUGUGUGUUUUAAAAAAAAAAAAAAUCUUGUCUACCACUGGUUGCAGCAUCUUGAUAUUGUUUUAUAUGGGCUUGUUUUAGAAAAUGUGGAUGAAAGGACAGCCAAGAAGAAGCAAAAUGAAGAUGGCGAUGAAGAGGGUAGUGGAGAAGAAGGUGAAGAGGGUAGUGAAGAAGAUGGAGAAGACAUGGAUGAAGAUCUUGAAGAUUGAGACUUGAGAUAAAAGCAAGUUUUGUUCUGUGUGUUACACUAUAACUAUGUGGGUCUUUAGAUGAGACUUGAGAUAAAGCAAGUUUUGUUCUUUGAAUCUCUUAAGUUGACAUCUAUUGUCGGGCUAAAUAUACACGGUUAGACUCUACUUGGUCGUUUAAAACGUAAAUACGUUUGAAAUCAUUAAAAUGGUGACGUUUGAAUAAUUUAAAAUAAAUUUGAUUUAUGGUACCCUCAAAUGUUUAUAUAUGUAGCGAGUUAAUUGCACAACGUGUGUAAGCAGGUAAUGUACAGUUAGGAAACUAAAUAAGGGAUCAAACUUCCCUAGUUUCAUAUAUACUUGCUUUAAUGUGAAGUUAUCGUUUAUGCAAUUUUCUCCAAAAAUCAUAUAUUAAUUUUAGCUUGUUAUUUUUUUAGGAAAAAUGGCCAAUUCAUAUAUAAACUAAUUGUUCCGGUUUUUUUACACACGAAUUUUUAAAUAAUGCCAAAAACUACAUGAACAGCGGAAAAAAGCUUAUUUCCCUCUAUUUUUUUCACACAAAAACUUUUAAUCUAUACCAAAAUCCACAUGAACAAUUCUAUUUUUUAAAUUACAUACAUAAAUUAUCGAUUUUAGACUAAUUCUCCUGAAACAUGAUAAAAACAAAUGUCUAUUCAACUCGGAUGAAUCUACAAUAUCAAAUGUUUCCUCUCAAAUUAGUGGAAAGUAAACGAUAAAAAUAAGUUUUAUCUUAAUAUAUGCUACAAAGAAAAACACAAAUAAAAGCAAAAACAACAUAACCUUUCCUUUCAAACACCUUUCUUCUCAUUCUAAAACACUUUUUUUCUAAUUAUCACGUCUCGGUUGCCUUUUGCGGGGAGCAGCGGUUUCUUCCUUAUUCUCUGACUCAUCUCCACUCUUUGAGCUCUCUCCUACUUCUGGUUUCUUCUUCUCCACACUCGCCGCCGGUGCCGCCUGUAACAAACCAUUUUCAUUUCUUUAGCUUUUUCACUUAAUUCCAUAUUUCACAAAAUCCGCAAAACAAUAAAAUUACCUUUUUGCCACCGAAGAUAAGCUUGAUGAAGAGCGAGAAGAAUACAACAACAAUGGAGACUAGGACACCAAUUGUUAAGUUUGGUUGUUCCUCAGCUUUCUCAAUCAGUUCCUACAAAAACGACACCAUUUUCAAAAUCCCUUUAGGUCUGAGUCAUCAUCAUCAUAACAUGAUGCAUGGUUUAAAUGAGGGAAGAGAGCUUACCGUGAUCUUAGACUUGUAGGCACUUAGGAAAGAAAUGUCUGCAACCUUGUUCAACAGAUCGAACACAACCUUCUGCAACAUCAUUCACAUAUAUAAGUAUUUAUACAAGAAGCCAUAUGUAUAUAUUAAUAAAACUUUGAUUCUGUUGGAAGAUUAAUUUACCUGGUAGCUCUUGAGACCAUCUGCAGAUUCAGCAGCCUUCUCUUCCUCCUUUUGUUUCUCUUUCUCAACAUCGAACUUAGGCUUCCACGUUGUCUGUCUGUAACUCUCAGCGACCUUCUCGUCUUUCGCUAUCAAAAUGUUGUCAAACAAGAUACCGUCUUGCAUCGUCCAGAUCUCUAUACCGAUAGCUGCAAUGGGUUCGUAAUCAGGUCUGUCUAGCUCAAAGUAGUCAGGGUUAGGGAUGUCUCUGGGCUUCCAGAUUCCCUUGUAAGCAGGGUUAUCUAUCAUAGGUGCACUCCAUUUGCCCUUGUAAGCAGGGUUCUUCUUCAUCGGUCUCUUCCAUUCACCGCAUCCUGGUGCUGCUUCACAUUUGGGGUUGUUAAUCUUUGGUGCCUCCCACAUACCAUCUUCCUCAUCAUCCCAAUCUUCAGGUUUGGUUGCCUCUGGGUCGUCCACCUCCUCAGGCUCAUCGUCUAACCAUCCUUCGGGUUUCUCGGCUUCUUCAUCUUCUAUCUCCAUCGGUGCUUCCUCGUCCCAGUCGUCAGGCUUCACAGCGUUAGGGUCAGGGAUCUUGGCUCUCUCAUCCCAGUCUUCUGGUUUCUUGUCUUCAGGGUCGGGGAUGGUCUUGUCAGGGAUCAAAGCAGGCUCAAAGUCUUCCCCAGAGAGUAAGUUGGCCUUCUUCUUCUCCUCUCCAUCAACCAAAAUCCUAACCUCGUUGUCUGGCUUCAAGAUGGCGGUGUAGACAUGGGAAAGCUUGUCAUAAGGAACAGAGGGUGGGAACUUGAGAUGGUGCUCAACGUACUCGCCGCUCUUGGGGUUCUUGUGUUUCAAGAUGAAAUGAACUUUGUUCGUAGCUCCACACUUGUCGGGUCCAAACAUGAUAGAGUAAGGAGAUUCACUAUCGAAUCCCUCAGGUGUCCAUCCAGCUUCCUGAGGACGGAGGUACUUCAAGUAAGCACCACCGCACUCAAGCCCUUCCUGGAAACGAACCUCGUACUGAAGAACAAUGGUUCCGUCCUUGAGGUUUAGUGGCUCGUCGAGAACUUUCACUAUACCAUACUUACGAGCCUUCUCGCUUACGAGAAGUCCAUAAUCAUCAUGUCCCUCACUCUUCUCAUGCUUCCACACACCUGAAAACAAAUAAAAGUGGCCUUAACAAAGAAGCUUCAACGAAAAGUGGGACAAUCAUCAGCAACACCUCAGGUUCAACAACAAGAGCAAGAUUCAAGUGUUAAACACACACAAAAACAUCCAGAUUUUGCAUUAUAAGAUCAACCAUUCAACAUCAUAACGUGAGAUGACGAAUUACACUACUACUAAGUCAGAUUUGAUUCAACAUUCUCGAUUAGAUUCCCCUAUACGUUGAGUGCAACACAUUACAGCUCAGUUGAUUCAAACUUCACAUCAACAUUCUCGAUUUGAUUCCUCUAUACGUAUAGAUCAUUCAAAUUCCUAAUCAAGACGCAGAUCGAAACAGUGAGAGUGUAAAGAUAUACAACAAUACCUUCGUAAUCGCCAUUCUUCGAGACGAUCCAGCGACCAUCAAACGCCUCAUCGAACGAUUCAUACAACACCUGAACAAGAAAAAACGAAACUCAGAUCUAAAAUCUUCAGAUCUACUAAACAUUUCACCGAGAUUACCGUUUGAUCGUCGCAGUAGCAAAGCUUCUGGAGAGAAACGAAAGCUAAGAUAAGCAAAACGGCGGAGAAUAGCUGCCGGUCUCUCAUCAUCGGGAAUCUUAACGGCCGUUCACCGGAGAGUAGAUCGGAGAAAGAGCAGAGAGGAUGUAAUUUUCGAGAAAACUCUGAAUAAUAAUUAUAUAUUCAAUUCCCGUAGACCCGGUGGAGUACUGGGGUGUGUCAAUCCGUUGUCUCCACCAAUGAAACGGUUCGCCACGCGAUGGUGGCCAAUUAUAACGCGCCACGUCGAUUAAAAAUACGUGUGUAGUUUACACGUGCGCAUUACGGCUAGUUUAUGAUAGUUAUUGGGCUGGGCCUACUAAAGAACUUGAGAGUCUCUAAUGGAAAGUGAGUUUCUAACUCUAUAUGUACAUGCAAUUCAAAAUUUUAUAAUUGGUAUAUUAGAGUUAAUUAAAUUGGGCAUUUGUUUAGUAAUCUUUUUUUAACGUCUCAUUAAUUAUAUUAUUACAACGAUAAAAAAUAUUAUAUGCACUUUGCACGUGUGACUGCAUCAUUCUGAGCCGUCCUAUAAGAUCCAUGUUUGAUGAUACGCCAUGCACCACGCUAAAGACCUCUUGUAACCAUUUUUCUCCAGCAUAAUUUGCGUUUUCGUUUUAAACUCCAGACCUCAUAGUGUGGAUGCAUUAAUGAACUCUUAAUCAAACUACUGGACUGGAGGUUUAAUUUAGUUUUUGUUUACUUAUUAUUUAGGGCAUUACAAAACUUUGAAAAUUAUUUAAUCCACAAUUAGUGUUUCAAAAAAAAAGAAAUUUAAUCGACAAUUCUACAUUUCUACUACCACAAUUCUAUAUGCUUUAUAAGAAUUAACAUUUAUAUUUAUCACUUUGAAAAUUAUUUAAUCGAUAAUUCUACAUUUCUACUACCACUUGCCUGGUCGUUACGCUGCUCUUAUCAAUCUCGCCAUACAUUAAAUUUGUACGUCAAAUAAUUCACGAGAAUUGAGCUUGCCCACUUCAUUGUUUCGCCAUGCAUAAAACGUAACGUACAUCAUUCUCUCAACAUGCAGUUAUUUUAAUACUAAACGUCUACUAUAAUUAGUUUUCGUGAGGCUAAACUUCCGAAUAGAAAAUGGGUGUAUUGCCUGGAUUUGGUAGCUGGAUCAACCAGAACAGUCAACAGCCUCUUAAGGUCAGCUUCAUAUCCAUCAAUCAUAGGACCCGAGGAUGUCAAAAUAUUAAAUAUAUACCCGAGGAUGUCAAAAUAUUAAAUAUAUAUAUAUAUAUAGAAACACUACAUUUUAUUCUGUUUGUUGUACGUAGGCCGAGUCCAAGAGAUCUGAAAAUGUCGACUCAGAGGAAGACGAUUUUAAAUUUCCUGAUAAGAUCUACUAUGAUUUAAAGGAGGAGCAGAAGCAAAAUGAUCUUUGGCAUGAAGCAGAGAAGAAGCAUCCAUGGCAUAAUGCAUCUCCUAAGAUCAAGGUAUCAGAGAAAUAUCACCCCAGACAAAAUACAAUACCCAAAAAAAAAUUUUGCCUCGGUAGAAGCAAGAACAAAGAUCCUUUAAAAAGUUCUUAUGUUUUUGAUGUUUGAAGGUGACACAUGAAAAUGGUUUUUACCAUAUGAACAUAGAAUUGACCGUAGGGUUGGCUCCUGAAUUGCUCUACAGCAUUUUGAUUGAUCCAGGAAGUGGUACAUUUCGCGAUUUGCGCAAACGGCGCAACCUUAUGGUUUCUUUUCUAAUCAUAAAAUGGUUUCAUUGUGGUAUAUAUUACAUACAGCAAUAAUACCUCAGACUAUGAUUUUUGUUUUAUGAAGGAAAACAAAUCAAGAAAGGUUUUGUUUGAGAAUGGUCCGAGGCAAAUGACAAGGGUGGAGAAAUCUGUGGCUUGUAAUGUAUUUGGCGUGUAUAUACCUAUCUCGAUGAAUCUAAUCGUCGAUGAAAACAGAAAAGAUCUUAUGGUAAGAAGAGCUUCUCUCACAAGAAACAACCACUUUUGUUUUUGUAUUGGUGGAACCUAAUUAACUCAGGUAAUUUCUCUUUUGCGUAUUGUGGACAGACACAAUAUAAGAAAGAGAAAGUAAGAUUUAUGAAAGCAUUCGAGGGUAAUUAUAAAGUGGAGCCUAUCUUUGUAGAUAAAGAACGUUUGUGCAAAAAGAGGAUACCAAUGACUCGAGAAGAGUAUAAAAAAUGUAGUGGUGGCCAAGGAAAGGUUGCGUCAAAACUGACAAUAGACCAAUACUAUCAGCCAUAUUCUCCUUUCAAUCUACCGCCGCUUUCUUGGUUCAUCCGUGGGAUGACCGUCAAAACCUCCAAAUCUCUGCUUGCACAGGUUCAGGACACGUCUAUUGCAGUGCGAACGGCUACGCCAAUGCCAAAGGAGACAACAAGUAACAAAGAUGAAAAACACUAGAGCCUAAAUGAACAUACACAAAUACAUGUUUUAAAAAUUAAUAAUAUUCUCAAAAGUAAAAGAAUACACUCCAACAAACAAAAUAUGUUAAUUUGUUAAAUAAGAAAAUAUAUAAUAAUAAAAUCCAAAUUCAGUUUAAAAAUAUAAAUAUAUUUAGCGUGUAAAAAACACAUCAAAUAUUAUAUUAUACUAAAUUUUAAAAAUUAUUUAUCAGAAUUCGGAAGCAAACACUAACCUCAAUGAACAUGGCUUCUUAAUUACUUUUUCUCUUGAUUAAAAUACAUAUAAAAUGAAAAGUCUCCAUCCGGUUGUAAGUUAAUUUGUGUGGUCUGCUUGCAUUGUUCUUGGGUUGCUUAGUGUUUUUUUUUUAACGUUGGGUUGCUUAGUGUUUCAUCUGAGUUUUAUGUUCGUAAUGCUGUUUUCUUCUUGGAUUAAGAUCUAUUUUGCUUUGUGUCUUAUUAGAAGUCAGUGUAAGUUUGGUUGUUUCUCUUGUUCAGGGCUCUGUUUCUGGAGAAUGUAUGUAUUCUUCUUGUUUAGUUUCCGAGAUUGUCCUUUCAUCCUCCAGCUAUGUAUUCCUUCGUGUUUUAGUUUCAUGAAAAAUCUAGAUGACCAAAAAAAAAAUCACCAUCCAAUCAAAUUAAAAUAAUUUUGUAAAAUAUUACCUAUGAACAAUAAAUAAGCAAUUUUUAUUUAACAUAUAGUUGGAUAAUCCCUUAUAUACUAAAGCGCAAGUCGUCUAACAAAUCAAAUAUUGACAUAUGUAAAAGUUUUUUAAAAAAUUAAAAAAACAAUUGACAAGUGGAAAAGUUAAAAAGAAAAUACAAUUGAAUUUUUCUCUGCAGCUCCUAUCCAAUUCCUAUUUUUUCUCAAAUUGUUUUAAAAUAAACAAAUUCAAAAAAGAAAGCAUGAAGAAUAAAAAUGCAAAAGGCUAAACGUUCCAGCUUCCGUGUUAGUUUAAUUUUGUUUUUGUGUUAGUUUAAUUUUUUACUAGAAAAUUAGAAAUCAAAAAUAUUCUCUCAAUCCACAUCGAUGGACGGUUCUUCUCUACAUACCUCCACGAUCUAGCAAUUCCUGAAUAACUACCACCACUAUAUCAUUUAUAUUUGUGCAUGGUUAUUCUGUUAUUGAUUAUCGCUUAUGAAACAUGUUUUCUCUCCUUCUCUAAUCCAGUAAUCUACAAAUUAGAUUUGGACAUGCAACCCUUCUUCUCAAAGGAAAAUUCUUAAUUCAUAUCAUAAUUUUAUCUUAUUUUACGGACUCUCCAUUAAAUCUCUUUAGAUCUCACUCUUUUCUAUACUUCUACUAUAAUAUUUAUCUAUCAAGCCUCACUCACUCACAUGCAAUGUUUUCUUCGAAAAACUCAAGGUUAUACUUUCUCAUCAUGUACCCGAUUCUUUAAUUGUAAAUGUGCUAAUGAAGAGGAAACACCAGACUAGAAAAUUGAUCAUUCUUUUCUUUUGGUGCAGUGUAAGAACGAGAAUGUGCUUUAUAUGGUGAGUGGAAAUUCUCAGAAGCAUGUGCGGCUGAGCAGCAUGGGAUACUUUAAGCUGACAAAUUUAUAUUAUUUAGUCAUGUACUUUUCAGACGUUGGAUUGGUUCUAUAUUCAUUUUGAUUUUUGAGCCGGCUUCCGUGGAAAAUUCAGAUUUUUUUGGAAUGGCUUGAGUGAAACCUUGAGUGGCACAAGACAGAUUGAAAGAUAACCCCGCCUACGAAUGAAUAGGAGAUUGUAGCCCCCCUUCAUCUUAAGCGCUCUUCCUCAACUAUUUAACAUUCUGACUUUUGUAAACUUUGCACGUUGCAACAUAUUCAAUUGGGUUUUGUAUGACUUUCAGGUUACCAUGAUGUUGAAUCUAUUGGAAUUGAUGAAUUGACAGUUCCAUGUGUCAUACACUUUUACGUAUCAGUCAUCUGAACUUGCUUCUUUAAUUUCUUAUUUCCAACAAGAACAUGGAAUUUCUUAUCAGUGAAUUUUUGUUUGUUUAUGUCAAUAUCUUGCGCAAAUGUCUUAUUUCAAAGUUCUCUCUAAUGCUGGUCUUCAAAAAUCUCUAUUUAUUUUGUAGCAAUUGCAUUUUAGUAGAAAUUAUGUUACAUGACUAAUAAAUAAUGACUGCAGAUUUCAAAAGAUGUAGAAAUAGUAGAAAAUCUGUCCGUAGAAAAGACUCCUUUAUCUAAUACUCCAAUCAAUUUUUUCCGUACGUAGUACGAGUAGCAUAGUAGUUAUUAAUAAAUCGUUUACGGAAUUCAAAAGCUAGAUUGCAUGAUAUAAAUAUAUUAGUAAACAAACUAUUAGACUAAAAUGGAUUCCACAAUCUUGUUUUGUUUAUAUGAAAGGAAGAAGAGAUCUCCUAUAAUUUUUUAUGAAGUUAUAUAACAUUUUUACCUUAAUGGUACAAAACCUCAACGGGAAUGUUGAAAUUGCAUUAACCUCAAAGCUAUUGAGAAGCUGCGAAGUGAGAAGCUGCACGGAGCAAAAGAACCAAACAUCUAACUAUGUUUCCUAAUAUGUAUAUGGAGCUUUCGUUUUUUCAUAUCAAUUGUUUCUUGAUGCUGAAUCACCUUGAAAGGUCACGCGACUAGAUCGACUUCAUCACGUUGAGGGUAAACCACAUCGAGUCUCAUCAUACUCUUGUACUGGUCAGGCACCGGUGCACCACCUUGCACACACAACUCCACGACCGCAGGAGCUUUCCCAUAAAACCUCUGCAAGCUAUUGUCAAGAGCAGAAGAAUCUGGAUCCCGAACAUGCCACACAUAGUUUGGACCGACCACGUCGUCAAUAGUCGCUUCUUGCCACGCGUGCAUUCCGUCUCGCAUCUGAUGCUUUGUCGCUUUACACAUCUUCACUUUGUGUCCCUUGGGACCCACUUGAACCUCUGGACAGUAACCACAAGUCCACACUUUGUAUUUCUCCAUCAGUUCCUUGACCCCUGUGACCAUUUCAAACCAUGAAUCCAUUGUCUUAACGCUUAACUCCUUCAAGCUCUUCUUCUCUGUACUGUAAUGAUCAUCUUCUUGUAAAGGUGUAGCCGUGCUAACACUAGUAACUGCGGUUUCUGAGUUCCUGUUGUUGACUUCCUCGAAAUCUACGAUCCGUCCUUCGAUGCUGUAAACAGGUUUCGCUCUACGCUUUGCUGGGAACUUCUCGAGGUCUACGCCUGCCUGUAUGCAUAACUCAAGAACCGCAGAGAUUCUAGGGACGGUGAACCUCUCGUCGUGGAUGACUCUCGGUUUGACAGCACGGUCGUAGAGGUGGAAACAUUUUGGGAACAAGACAACGUCGCUAGCUCUUCCUUUGUUCCAUACAUGAGUGGCGCUUCUUGAACCGCCCCCGGGGCCUGUGCAAGUCCUGAUUCCAUGACCUUCCUUGCCAAUGUGAACCUCAGAGCAGAAUCUGAGAACAAAGAACCCUCUUAACUCCGGAAUUUAAACUCUAAAACUAGAUAAAACCGACUAAAGUCACUGUUUUUCACAAAAUAAAACUAAAGUCUGUGAUUUCAUUUUAAACAAACACAUUACUAUAACACAAAACAUGCAAAUGCAACAAAUGUAUUGAGGCUAACUCUGUUGUCUCAGCUCAAAAACAAGAAUACCACAUCACACCGAUACAAGAACUCGAUAUUACAAUCUCAUAUAGAUACAUAACCUAAAGAUCCAUUCAUGAUCUCGUGAAUCAGAGAGACUCAUCACGCCUCUCUCACAACUCUCAUCUUUCUUAUGCAUAUACUUACCAAGACCUCUAAUAGAAGACACUCUGCGUGAAACAGAGACUUCUCUGACUACGCCUCCCUCACAAGUCCCAACACUCAUCUCUCUCUCAUGCAUACUCAUCGAAACCUCUAACAGGAAACACUCUGAAUGAAAUAGAGACUCCUCUGUCUACUAUCUCACUACCUAUCAGCUAACUCAGUUGUUUCAGCUCAAGAACAACAACACCAAUAUCAAACUAUAUCUAGCUCAAAAAUGCUUAACUGCUUCACGGAUCAAAUUGAGCAACAAUCCAUAUGAUUCCAGAAUCUAAGCUAAAACGGAUUGUAUCUCUCGGAGAUGAUUCAUAUAUACCUGCAGCGAUGAACAGAGACAUGGUGAUGGAUGAUUGCAGAGAGCCCGGAGAGUAACGAGGCGCGGCAACGGUGAACUCUGCGAGCCACGUGGACGAGCUCCGGCACGAGCAAACCGUUAUCCGGCGGAUCUUCAAGUACUCGACAGGGCUGCGAUUUUCUGAGCUCUUUCUCCUCCUUGGCGCGACGAAUCAGCUCCUUCAUCGGAGUGGGAUAAGGCUUCCUCUCCGAUUUAUCCUUCCGAGGCUUGGGCACGUCGGCGUAGAGAGGAUCGUCAUCGGUGGCUUUUGAGCAGGGGAAGUCGAGAUUGAUUAGGGGUUUGAUGGAAGAAGAUGAGAAGCGCGUUUUGCUGAUUACGGAGAGUGAGAUUUGCGUGAUCCGCUUUCUUCUCUGCAUGUUUCUACUAUAGUUUUCUCAAACGGAUACAAAAUGCAUACAAGGUGUUCGAUGAAAUUCCCCCAAUGCUUGAUUUAGGAGCAUGAGCAUUUGGUCUUUUAUUUCUUUUGUUCUAGUUGUUCGGGUAUAUAGACAUUAAGAACUAGGCAUGCCGGGUUGGGAUGGUAGUGUUUCGGUUCGACUAAAAUUUUGCCGAAAUGAACCGUACAAAAAAAUUUGGUUCGGUUUAGUAUUCGGGUAGUUCAGUUUUUAAAAAAUUUAGCGAAACUAACUGAAGUUUUUUGGUUUCGAUUAUAUUUCGGUUAACAUUUUGAAUAAAAUUGGUUAAAUUCGGUUAGUUUAGUUAAUUUGAUUCAAAGUUUGGUUGCUUUGGUUAGUUCGGUUCAAAAUUUUAAGUAGUUUGGUUAGUUUGAUUCGGAAUUUUGGUCAGUUCGUUUUGAAAUUUGGUUAACAAAAUAUAGAAAACAUUUUUAUUAUUGUUCUAUUUUUGCGUUACAUAGUGAAAACGUGACAUUGGUCGAGAAUUGGAGAAAGAUUUGAUUAACCAGUUAAAUGUUCUAUCGGAGACCAAAUUAUAUUGGAUCUACUAUAUAUAUUCAAUAUCCCCAUCUUUUGUUGGGCUUUUGAGCCCGAACACUUACGGUCACGUAACAACCAUUUAAUCAGCAAAAUGUCUAUCAAGAUUGUUCAGAGUUUUAGAUAAUUGGCAAGGUUCGUUUUGCAUUUUCGGGACCGGGAGAUUCAUUCCACGUGAUUUACGAUUUUUCAGAAAAAGAGUUGAAAUGUUAUUAAAAUGUUAUUUUAAACGAACUGCUACGUUACUAUUUAUCGAAUUUUUUUUUGACAAGGAUAUCGAAGAGACAUUGAAUUAAAUAAUAUUGUGUGGGUCUGAAGAAAUUCAUAUGGAGAGGUUAUGAUGAAGAUCCCCACUAGAGUGUGAAGUUUCAAAUGAUGCAUGAAUGUUUACCCAGAUACAUAGUGUGUGAAAUGCAUGGUUUGACCACGUUUCUUUCUUAUUUUGUUUUUACGUAGCUAAACAAAAGUUAGAAAAGUCGACGAGUAUAGGUAAACAUAAACUCAUACUAAUAAUAACAACAAAUCUUUUGUUUAGAAUUAUAAAACGUGUGUUCUGGUUAAUUCCACAACAUGUGAAAUUAUGCUAAGGCCAGGAUUUCGAGUUUUUUUUUUUGCAUGAUAAGGAUUUCGAGUUUCAAAUUUAAACUUAAAUCAUUAAUGGUUUGUUUCACUCAGAUCAUUUGGAUUAAAUGACACCUGGAACGUCUUUGAUCAUUAAAAUGGUAAAUACAGUAUAGUGUUAAUUAAUCAUGGACAAAGCGAUACGCUAUCGAUGAAACUUGCAUUCUAAAUCUUUAUAUAUGACUAGUAUUGAUCCCAUGCCUAGCAUGGGAGUACUUGUUUUUUUUUUUUUUUGGAUAAAAUGUGAAUAUUAUACCAAAAAUUGGAACAAGAGUUGAUUUACAAGAGCUUUAACAGUUAGAAGUUACAUAUGGCUCAAAAAAAAUAAAAAAAAACCAAGAUAGAACUAUGAAGCUUAUGAAUCGGGUGAUCUAGGUGAACCUAAACCAUUGAGACAACAAUCCUUGGCAACGCUUAUGGGGUAAGCGAGCCAGGAGGAUGUCUCUGAUGGCCCUGUCGACCUUACUAAACAGGGUAGAGGUCGAAUCAUGGGGGCCUUAGUGUAGUCUGUUGUUCCUUUCUCUCCACAGGUGGAAGACAACCAGCUGAGCAGUGAGUUUCUUUAGCGUUGCUGAGAGGCCUGGAGUAACCGUGAGCAUCCAGUUGAUAAGAGAAGGCCAGGUGUCAAGACAGAGGGCCUGUUGUCCAAGGCGAGCCAGAACAAUGUCCCAGAGCUACAGCGCAGGAAGACGUGGUCCCUAGUUUCCUGUCCAAGUCCACACAAACAGCAUGUAGCAUAAUCACACACACCCCAGGUUACUAACCGUUCUCUUACCGGGAGUCGAUUUAGGUUUGCCACCCAAAAGUGAAAAACGUGUUUGGGCACUGCAUGUUUGAACCAAACGGCCUUCUCCCAAUAAACCUGAGGCGCUGAGAGUCUGAUAGAUUCCCAUGUUUUGGUGAUAGAGAAGACAUGGGCUCUGUGACUAGAUGGUCCCCAGCAAUAAGAGUCUGCACUGUCUUCAUUGGUAGGUGGAUCGAUCUCCAGCAAAGUUGCUAUCAAGGAAGCAAGGGAUGGUGUUCUACAACAGGGCGAUGGAGUGAUCCAAACCCCGCGUCUAACACCUUCGCUUACAGUGACUGUGAUAGGAAUUCCAAGCCAACGGGACGAUGGAGUGAUCCAGUACUUGUUUGCUUACAAAUAAAACUUUUUUUUUUUAAAGCCAAACUUCAGUUAUAUACAUUUUAAUCAUAUAUAACUAAACUUACAUGUAUAAUUUAGCUUGAUUUAUCUGGAGAUUUGUAUACAUACUAACACAGAUAAUUAAUUAAACAUAAACAUAUAAGAAAAGAUAAAUUAGAUUCGGUUAAAAAAAAUUUACAUCGAUCUUAAAUAGCUUGUUGAAUAUAAUUAUUACUUUGAAGCUUUUAUGUUUUACCUAUUGGUGUAUUUUUUUUAAUACUUUUCAUAAUUUUUAAUAUGCAAGUUAUGGUUCUUUAGCCUUUACAAAAAUAAUAUUACAAACCCAAUGCAAACAGUAAACUUGGUGGAAGCGUAUUUACCUUAACCAAAGCUUUUCUUCUGAUUCUACCAUGUUUGUUUUCUAUCUUCCUUAUUUUUUGUUGUUGUCCGCAUCUCUUUGUUUUGAUCAGAUCUCCAGCAAUGCAAAUCUACCAUAUCUGUUAUUUCUCAAACCUUCUAAGCCAUAAACCUGUUUUCAUGAAGCUAUGUAGUGCUUACCUGUUUUGAUGACUAUGUAGUGCUUCACAUAAACCAACCAAACUGCACAAAAGAGGGGAAAUAUGGGUGGAUGGCAUCUGUUUAUUUAGAUAUCAAACUCAGCACUGACUUUUUUAUUCUGUUUUGAUCGAUUGAGAGUUUUUCAGAUGUUUGUUUCAAGAUCUCAUAAAUAUAGAAGUAUAGAAGAAUAGAUUAUGGACAGAAAAAAAAUUGUGGGCUUGUGGAAUAUAUCUAGAAACCGUUAAAUGGUUAUUUUUUAAAAAUAUUAUCUAUUUUAAUUAACUUUUUAGUUUUGUAAAUACUUAUGAUGUGGCAGGAUUUAUGAUUGUGAUUUGUUUUUUCUUUUUAAUUUUUUUUACUUUUUAUUUUGUAAAUUUUUUUCUACAUGUUACUAUUUGAUUCGCUAAACGACUUGCGCGUUACUGUAUAAAUGAUAAAGUCGAUAAAGUAAUCAUAGUUGUUGUAUAGUCUAGUUUGGAGUAUAAUUGUAUUUUAAUUGUAACUCGAGUUCAAGUUUAUGGCGACUAUUUAAAUAACAAUAAGCCGACAACAUUGAAGCACUGUCGGUGGGGAAGAGUCCGUAUUUACACUAUGAUUGUUACAGAUAGUUAAGAAAAUUAUUCUUGUCGUAUUUUUUUAUAAUUUGACCCGAUCAAAUACAUAUGAUUGAUAUAUUUAAUCAAAAGGCUGAUGGAUGACGACGGUUAGAGAUAAUGAAAUAAGUUAUUACUAAUUGACUUGUUAGUGUGGAAGUUAUCUUCUCUGGUGGAGCCAUCGGAUUAAUUUAACACUGAAGAUAAUCUAUAUUUUAAUUUAUCCUAUGAUUUUAAGUCCAUUUGACGUACAUGGUCGGCUAAAGUUAUGUGUUUUGUCUGUCUUUAUGUGGAAAUUUCCGAGUCUUUCGAAAAAAAAACAUGUAUAAUGGUAUUGGUAUUAUGUUUGAAUCGCAUAAUUCUAUGUUUUAUCUGCGGUCAAGAUCACAAAUUAAGUUUACAAUGUAUUUAUACUAACUUAUAAACAAAAGGGUAAAAUGGUAAAAUGAAUGUUUCGGACCACGGCCGCGACCACCCGUUGCAUGCGAUCAAAGCCUACGAAAUCAGCCCACAAGCCGCGACCUCCACAUGUCGCGAUCAUCACUCGCAAAACGCCCUGUCGUUUUCGUCGACGUCUCGCCACGACCAUUCCCUGCCCGUGAACACUGCCUGGUGACAAGUAUUAAAUAAAUUAACAAAAAUAACACUAUGCUUUUACAUUGACUACAAUCAAAAGAUAGCACUAUACUUUAUUUCCUUAACAUUCUAGAAAAUCAUUUUACAUAAACAAGUAAACUAACGGCAAUCCGUUGCAAACGAUAAUACAUGUGAUUAAAGAUGCAGGUAGGUAGGGUGCUUUAUAUGGCUGGACCGUUUUAAAGUCAGCGUUACGUUUUUUCUUCCAGCUUUAAUAUAUGAUACUCACUUUUUCUUCGAUAAAGAUAAAAAUGACAUUAACAAAAAUUAAAACACAAUAAUUACAAUUAGUCGAAGAAGGUAAUAAUAUAGUAGAGGAUAAUCCUCUAAUAUAAUAUAAGAGAAACGUUAAAUAUGACGUCGUCAUCUGCAGUAAGGCCUUGACCCUCGCCUAAACGACUCUCACGCAAAGAUGAACUGAACUCAACAGGGGGCAAGUUCAAAAAAGGAAGAAAAAACAAGGAAAACGAGUAAUUCUGUCUGGCCGACCUGUGAGAACCACUUGCGUUUGAAAGGGGUCUGCUCUCACGACGUGGCGUAUGAUCGAUAGUGUAACAGCCCGAUCCCCCGGCGUCCGACCGGGGUUAUCGAAGGGGCGUUAUGGACACGUGUCUACUCAUUUAGACAACCCUACGUGUCCCGUUACUGAUCCCGAGAGACGAGCGCAUAACCUUCUUUGAAAUACCGUCACACCCACAUCCAUAUACUUCUACUUACAGUCCUGUGCACAGGGAAAAAAUGGGAAUGGAGGGGUGAGCAACAAGUUACUCAGUGAAGUGGUUCUAGACCAGCCUGCCCGCAUGACACUCUAUACUACUCUAUGCGGGAACUAGGGCUGACUAGCCACUACAAUCAGUUAAUGCAUUUUAUCAUUUCCUAACGUCAUCUAUGAUUUUCCACAUUCACUUCCAUUCAUUUCUAACAACCUAGUGAUCAAUCAAUACAAUGAUCUCACUCAUUGCCACACACGUCAAACCCUAGACUUAACCGACUCAUCUUACCAGUCCGACUCGAUCCUAUGACACCUUUAACUCCCUGUUACCCAACCAUGAGCUAAAAACCCUACAAUGCACAUCCUUUUCAUCUUUUCGUCCUUUUCAACAGUGGGUAGCCCCAACUAGGCUUCUACCCCAUAUUCUUGUGGAUUGGCCACAUCUCCUAUGGGUGCUUCCAUAUUCUUGUGGAUUGGCCACAUCUCCUAUGGAUACCUAGCGUGGACUACUACCCCACAUACUUUCCUUAGACCCUCUAUAUGCUUUCCCACCAAUGCUUAACCUUAACAUCAUUCUCUCAUACUUUUUCUUAUCCUUUCACUUCCUUAUCAUUUUCACUUAUCCCUUCCCAUUCUCAUUUACCUUCCUUAUUCAUUCAUACUUGUACUUGGACUCAAUUCACUAGACGCCACCCGUUAUCGGUGCCACACACAAUACACAUCGCAUUCAAGUUCUCCUUCAAUAACUUUUAUAAUCAUUACUCAUCUAUCGUUCUAGCAUUUAUUUCUCUCUAGCAUCCUAACUUCAAUCACAACAACACAUGGGACAACACAUCCAGACAUACAAGAAUCAACUACCAAUCAAUCAUCACCACAACCAUUCAAUUCAGUUCAUCGAGUCCCAUUUAUCAGUAUGAGGGUUCUUAUGCAUCAUGAUCCAUUCAUCUAUCAUCCUAGCAAUACCAUGUCCUAUCAACCUAACUCCCAAUCAGGGUCUAAUCAAACCUAACUCCAACAUAAAGGAGUAUACAGAAUCAUGAAAGAAGGUUGGGUUCGAGACACUCCACCUUAGUCUAGAUCUGGAUCUGGAUCUGGAAACAAGAAUUUAAGAAGAUGGAGAUCUGGUCACCACCACCACUUCACGGCGCCGGCGAGAGGGAGAGAGAGAGAGAGCGUGCGACGGCGAGGAGAGAGAGAGGGUGACGGCGAGGAGAGAGAGAGAGAGAGCGACGCGCGGGAGAGAGAGAAGAGGGAGAGGCGGCGCAGGAGAGAAGGAGAGAGAGCUCGACGGCUAGGGUUUUUGGCCUCCGGGAAUUCUCUGCAGAGCUUCGCUUCAGAUUUGUGAUGAGGCAAAAAGGGAGGCUGCAUCUCUUUUUAUAGGAAAGGGGAAGGGAAGCCCUAGGUUUUUGCCAAAUAGGCCGUAGAGAAGCCCAUAUUCUUUGGGAAAUUUUAUGGGACAGGAACCGGGCCGUUACAAUCCUCCCCCAUUAAUCGGAAUUCGUCCCCGAAUUCCAAAGCCCACAUCUUUCAGACCAAUCGUUCGUUACCGAAAUGAAUUCACACAUUCACACAACAAUCAAGGGAGGCAUACAAAGCAUGAUAACUCUACUGGAAUCUUCAAAACCAACGAAUGAAUGUCAUAAAUAAAAGGAGUAGGACUACAAUAGUUUGUAAGAGAAAACUCAGCACAUCUGCACAAAACACAGAAUGCCGUAACGAAUGGAAAGAACACAAAUUCCAAUAACCAAUAAAUGAAAUAAAACCAAUAGCGAAACACGUGUCCUACUCCUACGAAUCGUCCCUAGGAUCUCGUCUAGCCACAUUGACAUGGCGAGGGGCAGCGGGUCUCGGAUCCAAGAUCUUCAUCGCCCUCUGCGACGCGGUCAUACUCGGCCUCCGCCUCACUUUCCGCCAACCGCUCCUCCGCGUGCAGUGCUUGGUUGGCCAUCCUUCUCACCAGUGCAAAUUCCAGAGGCUCCAGAACUCCAACGAGUUCUUCACGAAUAUCUCCACGUAGUCCAGCCCUAAACAGAUGACACCACUCCUCGGCUGGCUUUGGUUGACACCUCUUGGCCGUAUCCAAGAACUCCUCCAGGUAAUCUCUCACCUUGCGUGGCUUCUGAACCAUCUGGACCAGUACGUCACAAUCACAUGUCACUGUAGGAGGUUUUCGCGGACGCCCCCGCUUUCCCUUAGCGAGUUCCCCGACCGGCACCUCAUGGCCAUCGACGCCCCUACCCGGGUUUCCUCCUUCUAUGCUCGAGAGAGCGGCCACAUUGGUUGCAAUCUUCUCUUCUGCCUCCAUGGCGAAGCCUGCCAUCCGCCUCACUAGCGCGAACUCCAGGGGCUCCAAAACACCCCUCAACUGCGCCUGGAGUUCCUUACGAAGCCCGUUCUUAUACCAUACGCACCACAUCUCUGCAUUCUUUGGUUUGCACAGCUUGGCUUGGUUGAUGAAGUCCUCGGUGUAUCCAGCGACUGAUCGGUCCUCCUGAGCAUUCUUGAUCAGCACUCCACACUGGCACUUCCCGGUGAACACCCUUGGGGGUCCCCCCGCUGCACUUGGCGGCUUGCAUGGACGGCCACGCUUCCUCGGGGGCCCCUCUUCGGUUGCAAGCUGGAACCUCGCAUCGCCCUGCAGUAGACGUUCCUCCAUAGCCAUCCUCUGGAAAUGUGGCAUCAACACCUUAUGCCUCACAGUCUGCUCGUGCGGGUACCUGAAUGGAAACUCCAUGUACUGCUCUUCAGGAUCCGGAAACAUGGGUAGCACCAAGUUACCCUCCAUGUCAUAGUGACGCCUUUGGGCAUACUCCCUGGUGUUCCUCUGUCCGUAGUGCAUACGCGGCAUCCUCCACUCGUAAUGGUCAAGCGAAAACAUCCUGCAAUAAAAUUUCAAUCAGAACCAUAAUAGAAGUAUGGAUAUAGUGGGAUUUUCAAAUAAUCUUUCACAAUCCGAAAACACUUAGUAAUAACGAAAUAAUAAUUUUUUUUUUUUUUUUUAAAACGUCGGAAAUGCCGAUCCCUUAGGACAGAACUAAGGGAUCUUAACCCGCUCUUAUACCAAUUGUAACAGCCCGAUCCCCCGGCGUCCGACCGGGGUUAUCGAAGGGGCGUUAUGGACACGUGUCUACUCAUUUAGACAACCCUACGUGUCCCGUUACUGAUCCCGAGAGACGAGCGCAUAACCUUCUUUGAAAUACCGUCACACCCACAUCCAUAUACUUCUACUUACAGUCCUGUGCACAGGGAAAAAAUGGGAAUGGAGGGGUGAGCAACAAGUUACUCAGUGAAGUGGUUCUAGACCAGCCUGCCCGCAUGACACUCUAUACUACUCUAUGCGGGAACUAGGGCUGACUAGCCACUACAAUCAGUUAAUGCAUUUUAUCAUUUCCUAACGUCAUCUAUGAUUUUCCACAUUCACUUCCAUUCAUUUCUAACAACCUAGUGAUCAAUCAAUACAAUGAUCUCACUCAUUGCCACACACGUCAAACCCUAGACUUAACCGACUCAUCUUACCAGUCCGACUCGAUCCUAUGACACCUUUAACUCCCUGUUACCCAACCAUGAGCUAAAAACCCUACAAUGCACAUCCUUUUCAUCUUUUCGUCCUUUUCAACAGUGGGUAGCCCCAACUAGGCUUCUACCCCAUAUUCUUGUGGAUUGGCCACAUCUCCUAUGGGUGCUUCCAUAUUCUUGUGGAUUGGCCACAUCUCCUAUGGAUACCUAGCGUGGACUACUACCCCACAUACUUUCCUUAGACCCUCUAUAUGCUUUCCCACCAAUGCUUAACCUUAACAUCAUUCUCUCAUACUUUUUCUUAUCCUUUCACUUCCUUAUCAUUUUCACUUAUCCCUUCCCAUUCUCAUUUACCUUCCUUAUUCAUUCAUACUUGUACUUGGACUCAAUUCACUAGACGCCACCCGUUAUCGGUGCCACACACAAUACACAUCGCAUUCAAGUUCUCCUUCAAUAACUUUUAUAAUCAUUACUCAUCUAUCGUUCUAGCAUUUAUUUCUCUCUAGCAUCCUAACUUCAAUCACAACAACACAUGGGACAACACAUCCAGACAUACAAGAAUCAACUACCAAUCAAUCAUCACCACAACCAUUCAAUUCAGUUCAUCGAGUCCCAUUUAUCAGUAUGAGGGUUCUUAUGCAUCAUGAUCCAUUCAUCUAUCAUCCUAGCAAUACCAUGUCCUAUCAACCUAACUCCCAAUCAGGGUCUAAUCAAACCUAACUCCAACAUAAAGGAGUAUACAGAAUCAUGAAAGAAGGUUGGGUUCGAGACACUCCACCUUAGUCUAGAUCUGGAUCUGGAUCUGGAAACAAGAAUUUAAGAAGAUGGAGAUCUGGUCACCACCACCACUUCACGGCGCCGGCGAGAGGGAGAGAGAGAGAGAGCGUGCGACGGCGAGGAGAGAGAGAGGGUGACGGCGAGGAGAGAGAGAGAGAGCGACGCGCGGGAGAGAGAGAGAAGAGAGAGAGGCGGCGCAGGAGAGAAGGAGAGAGAGCUCGACGGCUAGGGUUUUCGGCCUCCUGGAAUUCUCUGCAGAGCUUCGCUUCAGAUUUGUGAUGAGGCAAAAAGGGAGGCUGCAUCUCUUUUUAUAGGAAGGGGGAAGGGAAGCCCUAGGUUUUUGCCAAAUGAGCCGUAGAGAAGCCCAUAUUCUUUGGGAAAUUUUAUGGGAAACCGGGCCGUUACAGAUAGUGUAAUACCCCGAUCCAUCGAUGUCAGUGGAUUCUAAUAGCAUCUCCAACCUUACUGCAAAAUUUACUACAAAAUAGAGUGAAUUAUGCAGUUGUGAACAAAUAAAAAAUUUAUUACUCCAUAUAUGCAGAAUGCUUUUUUUUUGUUCACAACUGCAUAAUCCACUCAAUUUUGCAGUAAAUUUUGCGGACGGUUGAAAGUUGAAACAUUAAUUUCGAAAAAUUCUAAAGAUUUGUUUACUAUAUUUUCACCCAUGUCAUAUCUUUCAAUUUUGUUUUCUUUUUUUUUUUUUGAAAAAAGGUUUUCAAUUUAAAUGCUAGAAAGAUACAGAGAUAAGGUUUUAGGGACCUUAAGAGUUCAAAGAUAAAACAACAUGCAACGGUUUUAAAGUCAAGAGAGACGCGAAAGCAACAUAGUAUGAUGAAGGCAACACUUAACAAGAUUUUGUUGUGAACUCAGUGAUGAGGACCUCUUCCUCGGCCUCUUUUUCCUUUCCCUGUAACAGUAAACCAUUCCAUCUCCUUAAGCCUUUGAGAUGGCUUUAAUGGCCUACCGCCUCGUGACCUUAGUGUUGAUUCAUCAUCUACAAACGGGUCACGAGGAUGUGUAGGGGAAGUAUCAUGAGAGGCAAAAGUAAAUGGUAAUGGAGAAUUUGAAAAGACAAGUUCCUUGGCUGGUGGGACACUCGAUGGUUCACUGGCAUCAGCACUAUCCAAUACCGCAAAUAAGUUGUCAUGAACAAAUGGUACAGAAGACGGAGAGGAGUUAGAGUUAUCAACCACAAUAUCAACAUUCCCAACAAACUUCCCUGAAGGAGCCUCUGGAGUUGGUGGUACAGAUUGUGUUGAGGAGUCAACAGGUUCUGCGACAUCUAAUUGUUUGCAGGUUUCGUCAUUAGGAGAGACGGAGACAUCUAAUUUUGUUUUCAAUGGUGUGAUAUCGUAGAUCAUUUUUCAAUAAAUUAUUUAAUAUUUCAGUAUUUCAACUCAAAUAUGAAUCUUUACAAUUAUAUGCAUAAGUGACUAAAAAUAAUCAUAUUUUGAUGAUAUAUUUAAUUUAAUCUUCUAAAUUUUCUAACAUACCCUACCCAUCCGAUUUAAAUCAACGUGAGAUUAAAUAGAUGGCUCGAAUCUGCCAAUCAGAUUUUGAGUAUUUUUGUAACCUAUGACUAUGACCAUUACUGAGUUAUCUACCUUAAUUAAAGUAAAUUGAAUAUGCUUAGAGUUCGGAAUUCGUACCAUCCGUGUGACACGCGUUGAAGACGAGAAAGAGCGAGAUGAAGAUGAAAAAGAUCAUAUUUUUCGCGAAUUGAAAAACAAAAAUCCUAAGUUGUUAAGUUUUACAUCUUUUAAUGUUUCCUGAUUAAAUUUUAUUUAAAUCAGAACACUUAAGAGCUGAAAUGAUUUUUAUAUGUUCCAAUCAAAAUUAAAAAAAAAACGUUCCAUUUUCAAGACUGUUAAUUAAAAAAAUAAUUUAUAAAUUAGUUAAUCAACGUAUAUUAAUACUUUGGAAUUAGCAGAGAAAGUUAGGGACGGUCCGUAGGUUAGGGUUCAAAGAGGGGAGAGAUCAGGAGAGAGGAAGCAUGAGAGAGUGACCCAUUAUUGAUUUUUUGCUCCUUAAUCUGGCAACACGUAUAGGUCCCAUGUGUAACUUCGCAUUAUUUAAAUAAAUAAAUAAAUACGCGCAACGAAACACAGCCUACCAUUAAUUAAGUUAUCUUGUAUUACAAAAUUAUAUGCUCCCCUCCCCUUUACUAUGCAAAUUCAACAACCACUCUGUUUGUUUUAAAACUAAUCAAGAAACAUUUACACUAAGUCACAUUUGCACUUAUUAAUAUCACUAUAGUUCAUUUAUACUACACAAACACUUUCUUUUAACUUUUUUUUUUUUUUCAUUAGAUUUAGUAACUAGAACGGAACCAUAUUAUAAUUAGUAGGCCCCUUCUUUGUUCUCUUCUUCUCUUAAAAAACAAAUCUAGAUGUGGUCUCUAUCUCUUUUUUUCCUUGUUAUAUUUUUCUCUACCGUCUCUGCGUAAAAUUAUCUGUGUCUCCUUUCUCACACACGCAACUUCCUUACCUCUCCCCUCCUUAUUACAGAUUUAUUCAUAUUCAGAUCCUAACACAGAUCCUAACAGCUCAACCAACAAAGCUCCAUUAAACCCAGCAAAGAUGCUCUCUUCCUAUUUGCAUCUGUCGCCGGCCUAAAAAUUAUGUAUUGCUCUUAAAAUCGACUGUGGAUUUCAUCUUCAAAUGUUUGGAUCUAGAUCGUUGCAACAACAAUCUGGUUCCUUUUUUACCCAUCUCGUUUUAUUUUGUUCCUGAGUUAGUUUCAACUUCAUUUUGAUACUGAUUUUGAGAUAUAUCAUGGGUUUGCAUCACCAAAACUCUUGUUUCUUGGUUCUAAAACUUGGCUUGGUCGUAUCUUGCAGCAAAGCUAUCGUCUUGUUUGAGGGAUUAUGACCAACUGUUCUAAAACUUUGCUCGGUAGGUAUAUGAGGUUGGACUUUCUAUUUGUUCCAUUGAUCCUUCUCAUAAGUUCAUUUGGUCUAAUGAAUAUGGAGUUUGGGUUGAUGAGUUUGAAGCCAAGGAUGCAAAUUCCACUGUGGUUUGCAGUGUGCAAGUGGAUAUCGAUCACAUGUUGUACACGUGGAUAUAAUAAUCUAACUGUACAUGUGGAUAAUAAUACAAUAUGUGUACACCACAUAAUACAGUAUGUGUACACUUGAUAGUUCUUACAUGUUCUUGUGUACUAAAAAUUUGAACUACAAUCAAUCUAGAUAUCAUAAUAGAUAUAACACUUAUGUACAUCUACUCCAAAAACUUUCAUUUAUCCAAAGUACGUAUAUGUACAUGUUCUUGUGUACUAAAAAAUAUGUGGACAUCGUUUCGUGUACACGUGGAUAACGUUACACGUCGAUCAUUGGAGGAACUUUCUUUUGCUCUUCUUUGGUUAAGGCUAUGUCUUUGCAGUUGUAGUUGCAAUGCAACAAUAUAUCAAAUGUUUAGAGGUUUAUUUUGGUGAUUUCUGCUUUCUUGGAAUAUAUGGUGUUCCCACUGAUUAUAUGUAAGUGUGCCAUUUUUCGUUUUUCACUUUGUGGUUAUUUUAAAAAAUGUUGUUUGAAAGUAAUAACUAAGUUUAAUUUAAACUUAAGGUGUAUAUGAGAAUAUGUACUUGUGAUAUGUUCUACCAGUGUACAUGUGGAUUAUAUUUAUAUGUAAGUGUGCCAUUUUUCUUUUUUUCGCUUUUUGGUUAUCUUAAAAAAUGUUGUUUGAAAGUAAUAACCUAGUUUAAUUUAAACAGAAUGUGUACAUGUGGAUAUGUUCUUGGAGUGUACAUGUGGAUAAUAUUACAUCAAUUAUGAGGAGGACUGGGAUGAGCAAUCAAAAGGGUUAAUCUAAUAGAUAUAUGCACAACUAAAAAGUUAUAUAAAAUAUGAAGGACCAAAGUUGCAAAAAAAAGUGGCCAUUGAUGUUCGAGCUUCUCGAAACAGUGCUGCGAUGAAGAGACAAGGUGAUGACGUCGGGAAAGUUGUAGAACCCAGCAGAGGAGAUGACGAAGAAAACUACGACAGACUUGAGGCUUUGACGGCGUAAGAGAUGACGGGACGAAAACGCUAGAGAUGACGAGACGAAAACGCUAGAGAUGAGUUGCCGAGCACAAAUCAAGGCGGAUAAGGAAGAGUUGCGGUGGAGAAAAGUUGGGAUUUGAGUGGUUCGUGUAUCCACUUAUUUCAAGAUUCAAAAUUGAAUCUUAUUUCGAGAUUCAAAAAAUUUCAUAUGUUUUUCAUUAAAGUGGCUUUUCUGCAGUCGAGAGAGAGAAAACAAAUGAUUAAGAUUAAAAAUGGUGGGACCACUUUAGUUAGAAGAAUGAAAUUAGUUAGCAAUUAAUUGCUAAUAACCGCGGAUCGUUUUUUUUUUUAGUUAAAAUUUCGACUCGCUCAACCCGCAAAGAAAUAAACUAAUACCCGCACCCGCCCCGUUUUAUUUUGCGGGUAAUCCGCGGGACUCGCGGAUUAUAUUUUUAAUUAAAAANNNNNNNNNNNNNNNNNNNNNNNNUUUUUUUUUUAUUUUAUUUUGCGGGUUGGCGGGUAUCCGCAAAUCAAAAUCCAAAAACCCGCAUCCGCCCCGCAUAAAAUAGUCUUAACCCGCACCUGCACCCGCGACUUGAUUUUUUCAAAACGCUCGACCCGCACCCGUCCCGCGGCGGGUCAAAUGGGGCGGGCCCGCGGGCUUUGAUUUAAAUUUUCAGGCCUCCUCAGUAGCAACAAGUGACUUAUUAUGUAAUAAAAAGAUGGAAAGUGACCUAUAAUGAAAAUAACUCACUAAUAACUCACUAAUCAAUCAUGUGCAAAGGAUUAAAGGUAAACCCGAUAACAUCUUGUCAUGGGUUGGUAAUGACAGAUUAACAGUGUUAUGGAAUGAUUCCUUUUCUUUUUGCCAGCAAAUAAUUCAAUUAAAUAUUUUCUGUUGCAAUGGGUUUCUACAGUAGAAAGUGACAUGAUAUUUUUUAAAAACUUUGAUGUUAUUCUACCGCAUACGGAAACUCAAAUUAUGCCGUAUAAUUUUGACAAUUGAGGAAUACAGUUUGACAUAAUCAUAGAUACCAACCUUUUGGAGGGGGGGGGGGGGGGGGNNNNNNNNNNNNNNNNNNNNNNNNNNNNGGGGGGGGUAAAAUGUCAAAGACGACAACAAAACAUAGCACAUUUUGCUCGUUUUCCAUCAAGCCUAUUUCUCCAACUUGCAUCAUGGAUUUACCCCCAAAAAAAAAGUAGCAUCAUGGACCGAUCAUCAAGAACAUAUGAACAAAAAACAAAUAAAAAAUAGAUGGUUACAUGGAUUUACUUUACUCAAUCAGUGUCAGAAAUUGACAAUAAAGGAAACAUUCACGUGUAUGUCUGAGCAUGUACCACUAUUACAACCAUCUCGAUAGUUGCUAAAUCAGGUAAUAUAAACUACAAAGAAUUUUAAUAGUAUUUGUAUUUUUAACUUCGAAUUUACGUGUUACUCAUCUUUUAACCAGUUUUGAUAACGUACCAUUUUCUUUUCUCAGCCUCUGUAUUUAAUAUAGCACUAAUAGUUUCAAUUGUAGGUCUAUCUAUCACAUUGUAUACAUCCAGGUAAUGUUCCAAAAUUUUAUACAAAAUACAUAGUUUAUUUUAGGAAAAUAGUUAUACAUGACGUUAAAAUAUGUGAUUUUUUUCUUUUAAUUGGAAGAGGUGAAUUAGCUUUUUAUACCCUUUGUUAAUGGUAUCGAAAUGGUGAUGUACGUUUAGAGCAUCAUUAUUGCCGAAUCCUUAAUAAUUGGUCCUUAAACUUUUUUUUUAUCCAAUUUAAAAAAAAAAAAAUUAAAAAUGAACCAAUCGCGGACCGCCACGUUUCAGUGGGGUCUGCGAACAGUACAGAGACCAAACCAAAAUGUCUCUUAGUUAAGGACUUUCUCCCUCAUGUGUUUUUGUGGGCCCUUCCUCUUAAGGACCAAACUAAGGACAUCAUUAUUGGGAGUCCCUUAAAGCAUCCUUUAGAGGAGGGUGUGGGAACCGAGGAAGAAAGAGAAGAGAAAAAACCCUAAUUAAGAGUUGUCUCUUACUCUCCAACGAAAAAAAAAAAAAAAAAAAAAAAAAACAAUAGACUCUCUUUCUCUCUCUCUUCGUCCCACCAAUAAUGAUGCUUUAAGGACUGCAAUAAUGUUGCCCUUAAGACUACAUACUUAAUUAAGAUAAUAAAUACAUGGCGUCUUGAACAUAGACUAGUAAAAUAUAGACUAGUAAAAUAUUGACUAUAUCUAAAAAUUUAGGAUAUAUAUAUAUAUAUAUAUAUCUUUUUAAAAAAAAUGUUUACUAAAUUAUUUACAUAGACUCCAAAAUUUAGGACGACCAUAAAUAAAUUUAUAUGCAUAAAUAGAUUAGAGAAAAGAAAAUGAUUUUCCUUUUUGCUGGACAAAGAUUCCUACUCUUGUUGCGUUCAGACCACACAUCUACCAAGUGCCAUACGAACACGUGAUUUUUCUCCUUCCAAAUUUUCGUCCGUGUCUGUUUAUCAUAUCGUUUUCUCCACAUACUGCCUGUAAUACAUGUACAAAAGAAACGCUGUUUUGAUUUCAUAUUUAUCCUGGUUAUUAUUAUCAUAUAUUUUCGGCCUUAUAUACAUAUAUAUAUAAUCACUCUUUGAUCAAUUCUAAUCAUGAUUCAUGCUUCACGUGAUGCUAACAAUUAAACAGAGAUAGUUUACAGUAGCGUCGGCCGAUAACAAAUAACAAAAGACAACGUGAUUUAGCUGACUAUGUCAUGCAUUACAUUAAAAAUCGGAAUGUUUGGUUAAAUUUUUGAAGUGAUUAAUGUUAAAAAAUAAUAUGACAUUUAAAAACUGAAUGCAGGAAAAAAGAGCGAGGUUAAAUGUUUUCUAAUAGUCUUGGAUGCUGCAGUUAUAAAACUCCAUACAUUCCAUAAUUUAAGAUGUUUUGCAUAAAGCACAAUUUUUUUUACGAUCCCCUAAUUAGGUAUGAAGUUGAGGGUAUAUAUAUAAUGUUAAUAUGACUCCCGUUGGUAUAUAGAAUUGUCGAUUCUAGAGAUGGAAUAUCACUAGUUACAUAGUUUCAUUACGACUCUAACUGGUAACCAUUAAAGUAAUAUGAUGAAUAAACAGGAAAAAAAUGAAAAAAAUAAAAUAAAAAGAAUAACUAUUUCUCUCCUAAUUUGAUAAAGUAUAAUUAUAGUCUAUUAUUUUUUAAAUGUUAAGGAACGAAGGAAUCAUAUGAAUAAAUAUUCAUUGUAAAUAGUGUAAAUUGUAAGUAAUCAUAAAAAAUUUACUAUUUCUAUCCAUUUCAUUGGUCACUAUUUAGAACCUAGGUGAAAUAUAGCAUGGCAUGGCUCCAUGUCGGCAAACCACAUGCAUGACGAAUGGCUCGUUUCUUACCUAAACUAAAUGAAUUCUAUCAGUCGUGGUUUGUAUUCGAACAAACUUUUUUUUUUAGAGAAUUCGAACAAACUGUAAAUGAACUUGUUACGCAAAAGAACAAAACGUCAAUUGUACAAACUCACGUUCAAUUAUUGUUUCCAAUUAGACGUCACGUUCAAUUAUUGUUUCAAUUAGACGUCGAUUAUAUAGUUGCAGUUCAUAUAAUUUUGACAAUCCUUUUUUUAUUUUGGUACUAUCUAACUUUUAACCUAAUUAAGAAAAAAACACAAUAACGAAACGUCUUUGUUUUCCCAAAAAAAGAAAAACACGGUAGAUUAAACUACGAGUGAUUCACGAGAACAAAAUUCCUGAAAGCGCAUGAUAGCCUGAAGAACGUAGAAAAUGACACCCAAAAUAUCUAAAGAAUGCUAAAACGCGUUUCCCUUGUGCCAUGUAGCUAGUAUUAACUUCUCUCUACGUCCACCCAGACCUGCCUGUUCACAGCACGACAAAGCCACUUACCUAUAAAAACACAACACCUUUCCCAUUGAUGUUGUCUUUACACAAACACCGUUAUCUCUUCAAAACCAAUAAAAACCCAACGUGUGCUCAAGACGUGUUGACGCCGUUAGUCCUUGUAACAAAUUAAAGCAGCAUUUAUAUUUCGUGCUAAUCUAUAUUACUACCAUCUAGACUUUAGUUUCUACUUUUAAUUAUCGCUCUCCAAGUUUCAACCGAUGGUUUGAUGGUCUUUGGGGUCAAAAGAGAAGAUUAAUCUUUCAACUACGUGUUUUACAAGUUACUGCUUGUCGUAAUGAUUUUGAUAUUACUUAACCUACCAUCGUAAAUAAAUAGAUAUAGGUAUUUAUUUUGAUUUAUCUUACAAACCAAUUUUCUUUUCAUUAAAAGACUGUAUAUUAUCCAUAUAGAUGUGUUGAGUUAAAAAAAACACACACAUAUAUGUAUCUAUUUGUUUCUUUUUCUAAAUAAAUUUUAGAACUGUAAUUUUUAAAAUUUAAAUUUUAUUAGUUAGUGUUCACUUUUUUCCCUAUGAUCUAUGUCAAAUAUUGGAGAAAUUUUAUAGGAUAGUUAUUUUAAGUUUUUUUCAUAAAAAUAUAAAAAUAGCAAUCAAUGAAAAAAAUGACCAAGUUUUUUUUAUUAAAAAGUAAAAACACAUUUAUAUCCUAGAAUUAAAUAAUCUAAACUUAGAGUUCAGAGUUAAAACAUGGAGUUUUAAGAAUAAAGUUUUAAAUUUUAAAAAAUUAAAAAUUAAAAAUUAAAAUUUUCAUAAAAAUGAUUAUUUUGAUCAUUUUCUUUAUUGAAAACUAUUUUCUAUUCUUAUAAAAAGGACUAUUAAAAUGUUAUUUAAUAGAAUUGCCCUAAAUAUUUUCUACUCUUAUAAAAAUAAUAAGGGAGGGGACGACAAUAAUAUCGUGACUUGUCUUGUCUAUCGCUUUGUGAGGUCGCGGACCCUGGUCCCCCGGAAAUGGUUACAACCGGGAAUAGACGGUGCGUGGGAGAAUGGUAACCGGUGAAAGCCGGUUUUGAUUACUCUUGGUUAAGCCUUUGGUCGCGUCAGACCCAGAAAAGAAAAGAUAAGAAAACACACAGAAAAAAAAAAGUAAAGAGAGAGAAAGUAGAGAGAAGAAGAAGAAGAAGAGUAAAAAGGUAGCUUCUCGCCGGUGUUCAAGCGUCUGUAACUCCCUAAACGAGCAGAGGAAGACGAAGGCGAGUGAAGGAGAGAGCACACGGAGCUGUCGUAUCUCUAAAUCGAGGUUUGAUUCUAGGGUUUUAUCUUCUCUGUUAGCUCUAUUAGGUAAGCUAAACGAGUGGCGAUUGUGUUUGUUGCAGUUAUAGAGACGAAGGAACGGAAUCGAGUCGAGGAUUCUGAGAUUUUUUCUUGUUGAUUUCGUCCUUCUUCGUUGGGUAGAUGAAACAGAUCUGAGGUAUGACGAGUUCUGAGGCCAUAAACGUCGCCGUUUCCGGCGAGGGGCAAAAAGGUCAUUCUAACCGUGUUGGUGAGAGAGUCUCCGUUUCUGACUUUUCUUUAGCUUUGGUUUUGGUUACAGACUGACUUUUUUUUUAAUUUGUUCGUAGUGGAUGCUGAAGCUGCUCUGUAUAGAGAGCUGUGGCACGCUUGUGCUGGUCCUCUCGUGACGGUGCCUAGACAAGAUGACAGAGUCUUCUACUUCCCUCAGGGACACAUCGAGCAGGUGAGGUUUCAGAGAUUUCGUCCCUUUUCUAUUUUUUUUUCUUUUUUACUUGAAAAGAAAUAAUUUUUGUCGUUUUGUUGAUGAUUAGGUGGAGGCGUCGACUAACCAAGCAGCUGAACAGCAGAUGCCUCUCUAUGAUCUUCCUUCUAAGAUCCUUUGUCGAGUUAUUAAUGUUGAUUUAAAGGUAGCCUUCGCUUACUCCAUUGUGAAAGUUUGGUUUUUGAGUCUUGAAUUGUCAGCUGAUGAUAUGGUUUUACAGGCAGAGGUUGAUACCGACGAGGUUUAUGCGCAGAUUACUCUUCUUCCCGAAGCUAUUGUGAGUUGUGUGUUUUCUUAGUCUUUCUUUGGUUUGAGUGGGAGUAUAGGUUGAUGAUUGUUUCUGUUUUUUUUUCUUGCAGCAAGACGAGAAUGCGAUUGAGAAAGAGGCGCCGCCUCCUCCUCCUCCUAGGUUUCAGGUGCACUCGUUCUGCAAAACCUUGACUGCGUCUGACACAAGUACGCAUGGUGGAUUCUCUGUGCUGAGGCGGCAUGCGGAUGAAUGUCUCCCACCUCUGGUUGGUGUUUCGUUUGCUUCUUCUAACCCAUUUUCCUGAGUUUUGGUUAUUUAAUUCACCCUUGUGUUUCUUCUGUCAGGAUAUGUCACGUCAGCCUCCUACUCAAGAGUUAGUUGCAAAGGAUUUGCAUGCAAAUGAGUGGCGUUUCAGGCAUAUUUUCCGAGGUAUAGGAAACGUAUUAUGAGUAUCUUAUUUAAUUUCUGUUCCUUGAAUCUUUUGUGUCGACAACGUGUUUUUUGUUGGUUGAUGUUUGUAUCAGGUCAACCACGAAGGCAUUUGCUUCAGAGUGGAUGGAGCGUGUUUGUUAGCUCCAAGAGGUUGGUUGCAGGCGAUGCAUUUAUAUUUCUAAGGUUUGUGGAUUUAUAAGCUCAUUAUGUUCUUGACUACAUUUGUAUCUUUUUGGUCGUUGAUGUCAAAUUUCUAAUUGUUCUGUAGGGGUGAGAACGGAGAAUUACGUGUGGGUGUAAGGCGUGCAAUGCGACAACAGGGAAAUGUGUCAUCUUCUGUAAUAUCGAGCCACAGCAUGCAUCUUGGAGUAUUAGCCACCGCAUGGCACGCCAUUUCAACAGGAACCAUGUUUUCAGUCUAUUAUAAGCCAAGGUUUGUUUUGGUUUAGCUUAGCUAACUUGACUACUUUGAUCCUUUGCUGUUUUGUAUAUGUUCGAUGUCUGGGAGUUUUACUUAUUAAAUGUUCAUGCAUUGUGCAGGACAAGCCCAUCUGAGUUUAUUGUUCCGUUUGAUCAGUAUAUGGAGUCUGUGAAAAAUAACUACUCCAUAGGCAUGAGGUUUAAAAUGAGAUUUGAAGGCGAAGAGGCUCCUGAGCAGAGGUAAAACAAGUACUGUUUUUGAGUAUCUAUAUCUGAUUCUGUUGAAGGCCAAGCUCACAGGUUGUAUUGAUUUAUAUUAGGUUUACUGGCACAAUUGUUGGGAUUGAAGACUCUGACCCCACGAGGUGGGCUAAAUCAAAGUGGAGAUCCCUCAAGGUAGAUGAUGACCUAUAUUGUAGGCAAGAUCUAGACACUGUUCUUAUAGUGAAUGAAGGCUAAUUGUUUAAUUUUCUUGCAGGUAAGAUGGGAUGAGACUUCUAGUAUUCCUCGCCCUGAUAGGGUAUCUCCGUGGAAGCUAGAGCCAGCACUUGCUCCUCCGGCUUUGAGUCCUGUUACCAUGCCCAGGCCUAAGAGGCCCAGAUCCAACAUAGCUCCUUCAUCUCACGACUCUUCCAUGCUCAUAAGAGAAGGUAAAGUCUCCAUUAGUGCGUCUGAAAAUUACUCAUUGGAAAUGGAAGACUAAUAAAUUGUCCACUCAACAGGCUCAGCUAUGGGAAACAAGGACCCUUUACCGGCAAGUGGAUUUUCAAGGGUCUUGCAAGGUCAAGAACACCCGACCUUGAGAACGAAACAUACUGAGACUGUAGAGUGCGAUGCUCCUGAGAGUUCUGUUGUGUGGCAAUCCUCAGCUGAUGAUGACAAGGUUGAUGUGGUUUCGGCUUCUAGAAGAUAUGAGAACUGGAUGUCCUCUGGCAGACAUGAAUCUGCUUACACGGAUUUGCUUUCUGGGUUUGGGGCGAACGUAGAUCCAUCACCCGGUCAUCAGAUACCUUUUUAUGACCAUUCAUCACUACCUUCUGUGGCCGCAAAUAAAUUCAUUGGUGAUAGGGAUGGCAAGUUUGAUUAUUUUGCUAACCAGUGGCAGAUGAUGCACUCUGGUCUUUCCCUGACGUUACAUGAAUUUCCUAAGAUCCCUGCGGCAUCUGAUACCUCUUUUCAAGGGCGAGGCAAUGCCAAAUAUGGAGAAUAUCCGGUGCUUCAUUCUCUGACGACUGAGAACGCUGGUGGUAACUGGCCAAUACGUCCACGUGCUGUGAAUUAUUUCGAGGAAGCGGUUCAAGCUCAUGCGCAAGCUCAGGCUAGGGAGCAUGUAACAAAACGACCAGAGAUGGUAGAGGAGACGGCAAAGUCGAGAGAUGGGAACUGCAGGCUUUUUGGCAUUCCUCUGGUCAACAAUGUGAAUGGGACAGAUUCAACUAUGUCUCCGAGAAACAACUUCAAUGAUACUGCGGGGCUUACGCAGAUGACAUCUCCAAAGGUUCAGGAUCUUUCUGAUCAGUCUAAAGGGUCGAAAUCAACUAAUGAUCAACGUGAACAAGGAAGACCAUUUCAAGCUAAUCAUCCCCAUCCGAAGGACGUUCAUACUAAAACGCAUUCAAGUAGGAGUUGCACAAAGGUGAGAGUUCUUUUGCUAUCAUUCCACACAAAAAGUAUGAGCUUGUAGGAACCCUUGAAGCAAUUCUUGACUAUCAACACUACACAUUGGUUUUAUUUUGCAAAAGGUUCAGAAGCAGGGGAUUGCACUUGGCCGGUCAGUGGAUCUCUCAAAGUUCCAGAACUACAAAGAGUUGAUAGCUGAAUUGGAUAGGAUGUUUGAGUUCAACGGAGAGUUGAUGGCUCCUAAGAAGGAUUGGCUGAUAGUUUACACAGACGAUGAGAAUGAUAUGAUGCUUGUUGGAGACGAUCCUUGGCAGUAAGAUUUUGCAGUUUUUCUUUAUGUCAUUGUAAUAUGUGUUAUUCAAUUUUAACACUUGACACAAUUUUCUUUAUUCGCAGGGAGUUUUGUGGGAUGGUUCGUAAAAUCUCCAUAUACACGAAAGAGGAAGUGAGGAAGAUGAACCCGGGAACUCUAGGCUGUAGGAGCGAGGAAGAAGCAGUUGUUGGGGAAGGAUCGGAUCCAAAGGACGCCAAGUCUGCAUCGAAUCCUUCACUGUCCAGCGCCGGACACUCUUAAACUUAAAAAAAAAAACAAGACCCGUUUGCUACAAGCCGAGGUAUGUUUAUAUUAUACUUGUGUGUUCUUCUGAAUUAAUAACUUGACAGGUUACUAGAGAGACACAGAGCCAAGUUCAUUUAAUUACCAUACAAAUAAUAUUUGGUAUUUUUGUAACGCAGGGGAAGAGUGGUAGGAACAGAAAUCAAGAAGAGUUUAAUGGUGGAGACUGGAGAGUAAAAAGAGAUUAUGGAGGGGGAGUGGGGUUAUUAAGUAAUGGUAUUAAAAAUGCAAUUUUUGAAGUAUUUUGUUGGGCAGUUAGGUUAUUAGCAUCUUCCACCAUCCUAAUAUCUAAUAAUAAUCAAAUAUAAAUAUAUAUUUUAUUAAGUAAACAAAAAUGGUUAGAGGUAUUAUAUGGUAGAAUAUGGGAAGGGUCUUUUAUAAGUAGAAAAGAUGGUGAGAAGUUGUAGAUGGAGGCUGGGUUUCGGUUCUUUACUUACUAUAUGUAUUUCUUCUUUCAUCAAAUGAUUACUUAAAAGUCUUAUUGUUUAUAUAUUAAUCUCAAUGUACAUAAGUUUUUAAGAUUUUACCUCUUUUUGAGUAUUCGGAUUAGUUAUUAAUAUUAUGAUUGUUUAAUCUUAGUUUCGGUUAGUUCAACUAAGAUAAAGAACAGGGGUUGUGUAACUUCUUUGGCACGCAAACCAAAUUUGUUAGAUUGCAGUGUAAUUUAUACAUCCAGUGUUAUAUAUUUUUCUCCUUGAUAAGAAACGAAGAAUGCAUCCUUGAUUUAUCGAUCUGGUUCCUAUUCAAUCGAUCCGAAGCUCUUCAUCCGUAGUAACCUGGGCCUCCAACGCCCAAACUAUGUUCUGCAACAGCUAUGUAGUACUAAUACUGUCCAUGAACAGAUCUCUUGUAGCCACUAGUCUCGUUAGAGAUCUCGAGCCUCUGUUUAGGCGCGCUCUGUGACAGGACUUUAGCUUUGUAAGACAUGUAGUUCGGGUGAUAUUCUCUGUACUUCUCAAACCCAACAGAGAUUCUUGUCUUUUACUCGGAGACUCAUUGUUUCUAUCUGAACGUAACGGUUUGGGAUGAUGACGAGGCUUCCAAGUAUCCACUUCUUGAAUCUUAUCUUCGUCUUCCAUAAAGAUGAUAUCAACGUUUGAAACGCAACGUUUGUGGAGAAGAAGAUGAAGGGAAGAGUAGAGCGGUUUAGGAGUGAAAGGAACGAGAGGCUCGAGCACGAGCACGAGCUAACUAGCAUCUGCAUCCUUCGAAGCAUAUCUGAAGUUUGCUUCUCACUAUGAAGCUUCACUAAUGCCUUUAAGUGCUCUUAGUGCCCUCCCUCCUCGCCUGAUUUUUGUUCACAUUAAACCAAAAAAAAAAAAAAAUUCAAUUCAGACAGUAAAGCCAACUCGACAUAGGUUUUAAUUCUUUGUUGAGAUUUGUGUUUGUGUGUUAGGGCUUAUCAUUAUAUUUCAUGUAUAUAUUUUCCGAACAAACAACAACCUUAUGUAUCAUCUUACGUAUAAAUUUCAAUUGGUUAACUAAAUAAAACUUAUAGCAAAUGGAUAUACCGUUGAUACUAAAAGAUAUACUUUUAGUUGGAAAUUUGGAUGAUUUAGAAAAUCAUGUGAUAUUAAUAAAACUCUUAAAAAAAUUUCGUCUCCUGCAAACAAUAUUACUAUAAGAUUUGCGUUUGCGCGACAAACACUUGGACACACCAAUGGACGACUUGGCCAAAAGCCCUUUUUAUUUGGUCAUGCAAUACAUGUGUUCAAGUGAGUUUCUCUCCACUAUCCCGCAUCCACUCAAACUCAGACACACACACACAAUUAUGUUUUAUAUAUUACAAAAGCUCUAAUAUCACUCUAUAUAAGAUAUAUAAUGGUGCAUAUAACAUGUGUAAAUCUAUCAACCAAGUUAGCCAUCUUAAAAUUGUUAAAAUAUGAUCUUAGAUAAUUGACCAAAUCUAAAAGAUACCAUCCAUUAAUUAGUCUAUCUUAUCACAAUUUUUCUUUUAAAGUUGUAAAACAUGACGAAGUUAUUGAUCACUCUGGCAUUAUUAUAUCAUAUCAUGCAUCACGUUUGGACGACUAAAGCUAAAACAAAUCCACCAAAUUGUACCUGAAUAAAUGAGAGUGAACAUAACGGGUUGUUGGAUUAUAAAAUCAUCUAAACUCUUAAAAAGAGCCACAACCAUUUUAAAGCACAUAUAUUUUAUGUUAUACUUUUAUAACGUUUCAUGCGCCACUAUGUGCAUAUGAAAACACUUAAUGGAUGCUUACAUUAUAUAAUAAACGUUGGGAUCACUUUCAGCCGUUCUUGACAAUAUAAGCCUCUAGAAUUGGGACUGCUUUUGUAGAAUAUGGACCGAUGUGACUUUGCCAAAAUUUCAUUUUAACAGUUGGUCCUCGCUCCUAUCGAUUACUCAUUUUCCGCACGCCAUUGACAAUAUUCGAGAUUCCCAUUAUUUUCAUCUUCAAUUAUUUUCUAGUCUCACACCAUACUUCCUAAUCCAAUUGUACAUCAACACGAUAUAUGCAGACAAAUCUAAACAUCUAAAUAAAAAGAAAAGCAUUAGUGAUCUUUUUGAAUUUUGAAAAUAGUAAUUUGAUGACGUGCUAUCACCGUCUUACGCCUCGCCACCUUAACUAGAGGCUUUUUAUGAGAAACUCAAAAUAUUUUAUCAUUAUCGCAUUUAUUGUGUCAAUAAUCACAUUUAGCAGUGUAUAUCAUUCAUAAAUGGUUCGUUAUGUUUUUGAUUAAAGUACAUAUCAUUGGUUAGACGAAUCAAAUCCACCAUCUGCUUUGUGUAUAUUUCGCUAGUGUUAUAAAUCAUGGAGUGGAUUGUCAUUAACCAGGCCCAGACCGAAACCGGUCCAAUACCUAGAAGAUGGAGAGAUGACCAAAGCCUAGAGAGAGGAGAGAGAGAGCCGACUUCAGGAGAGAGAAAGACGGCCACAAAGCUUGGAGAAAAGAAAACCCUUUCCUUUUCCUAGUAGAUGUAAUCUUUCCAUUAUUAUGUAUUAGUAGUUUUCCUAAUCCUAGUGAGUUUAGGUUUUGGAUACUUUCCAUUUAUCUUCAUCUUGGAACCCCCUUGAUCAUUAAUAAUAACACAAAAAUAUUCAGUCUCUAAACUCUCUAAUUACAACACGUUAUCAGCACGAUAGACUCCAAAACUCUGAGACAAAACCUAACCUAAAAUCCGUCACACAUAAACCCUAAAUCAUGCGCAAUUUAAAUCGAUCUAUCUCUCAAACCCUGAGGAACCAGAUGACGAGCCACGCAUCAUCUUGAAGCUCUUGAUGAGAAAAAUCCAUCAGCGCAAACCGUUCGUCGAUCCAAUCUCAGACGCGCCCACACUCGCAGAAAUAAUACGCGGCGCCGUCUUGGUCUUUUGGAACCCUAAUCCGAACCAACAUGAUUUUCUAGCCAAAUUCAAAUCCUGUGAAAGAUAAGUUUAUCAUACUCCUUGUUUUUAUUUCAUGAGCUGAGAGGAGUUGGUGCAAAGAUCUCAAACACAAAGCUGUUCGCGAUCCAUCUACUGACCAUGAACCGACGAUCUCAAGCUUGACCAGAUCACGGUUCUACUCAUAUUGCUUCCUGUUCACAACAGAGCCAGCCCACGUUCGCAUCACAGCCAGCUCGCAAUUCAGAUCAGCCGCUUGCAGAGGCAGCAGCUCGCGAACUAGAUAAGAAGAAGACGCGUCCCGAUCGCGUCUGACUACCUCAGCACACAUCCGUGACCAGACGCAAGACCGUUCCAGACAGCUCGCGUCCGUCCCAGCUUGCGACCCGAUAAGGAGCCAGCUCGCGUUCGUGUGCAACUAGAGGUUCAUCUGACUUUGGUGGUCCAGUUCAACCCUACAAAAAAAAGGUAAUUCGAAAUCUGAAAACAAGAAUCGAAUUUGGUUGUUUUGUAAAGAUUGAAACCUUAAAAUAUAAUCUCUAAAACUAAAGCCUUAGGUUAAAUAGAUCAAUCCCCUAUGAGUAAAUCGAAGCUCUAUAAGUUCGAUCUAAAACCUAAAAACGAGAUUGAUCCAUUGAUCAAUUAAAAUCAGAACCUUAAAGAUUUUUGAAUCUCAAAUCAAAUCCCCUUGAUCAAAGAUCAAAGUUUUCGAAAUCCCCUAAAACUCUAAUUUUGGAAAAUCAGUUUUAAUUUUGAUUUGAAACUUGAGUGUUUGAUUGAUCGCCUAGAGCUAUGAUUAGGAUUGUUUUAAAACUUGAAACUGAAUCUUGUUUAAACUAAAACCCUAAUCUCAAAUUUUAAAAUUCCUAAAGGCCUUGAAACCUUAAAUCUCUCAUUACUUAAAGCUUGAAAGAUUGAUUUAAAGAAUUUACAUAUUGAAUGAGAGUUAGGUUGCUAGAUUAUUUAAUUCUAAAACCUAAUAGAUAUGCAACUAAGAAAUAGGAUUGAAUGCAUUUAGAUCCCGUUUUUUAUAUGGCCGUGUGGCCUAAUACAUUGUUCAUACUUGCGGCCUUGUGCCCUUGAUUGAUUAAAAGCCGUGUGGCUUAGUGCAUAUCAAAGUGACCGUGUGGCCGAGUAUCCGGAUGGUUAUAUAAACCGGAUUGCAUCAUGAACCAAUCUUUAGGAUUGUUGUAUCAUACCAAGAUGGCCGUGAGGCCUAAGCAUCACAAUACUUGAUCGUGUGGUCCAAGUAUCAUAGAGAGACUUAUGAAAUCAUAUGCACUGAUUAUUUUGAAUUGGUUGCAUUCUAAAUCAAUGAAUUGAUUGAUAAUAUGAUUUCAGAUGCCGAGAUUUGAACCCAUAGAUUAUACCAUUCUAAAUCUCUCUGGAGAUAAUUAUCUAGAAUUGAAAAUGAACACUUCAAUUGCCCUGAAGUCUAAAGGACUCAGGAAAUGUAUCAUUGAAAGAAAUGAUGAAAUUGAAAGUGAAAAGUUAAGAGCCAUAACUAUUAUGAGCCAUCAUCUCACUAAGGAACUGAGAAAUCAGUAUCUACAUAUUGAGAAUCCUCGUGACCUUUGGACAUAAUUAAAGUCCAGAUACACUAUGGUAUUAUUACCAAAGGUCAAACAUGAAUAGAUGAGUCUCAGAUUCCAAAACUUUGAGACAGUGGCCGAGUUUCACUUUGCCUUGUCCAGGGCCGUGUACCAACUGAGAUUAUGUGGAGAAGAGGUAACAGAUAAUGAUUGUAUAUUCAAGACAUACUCCACAUUCCAUCCAGAAGAUUUGUUGUCAAAACAUAUCUACAUAAAAAGAGGUUCUACCACUUACAAUGACCUGAUCUCUUGCCUAACGGUGAUUGAGAAUGACAAGGUACUAAAGAAAAGCAGUGAGAUGAAAUAUCCUGAGGAAAUGGAUCAAGAUGAAUCCAAGGCAGCCGUGUCCAAUGCAAUAGAUGGACAGGCCAGCUUAUCUAUUUAACUAAAAGGAUCUCAACACGAUUUUAUUUUAAGUCUUUGAUUUUGUGAUUUACUUUUAAACCUAUUUGAUGGCAUUCACGAUUUUUAUAUAAAAGAGUUUGAGUUUAUUAUAUCUUGCCUGAUCUUACUUGAACAUAUGAAUAUUUUGAUAAAGAGUUGCCUAAAGGGCAUAAUAUCAAGUAAGAAAUCAUGAAUGGGUAUAGUAAGCCUAGUAAAGAAACUAUGGCUAAGGCAUUGCCUUAAAAGGCAUUAUACACACCCAAAAGAACAUGUGACCCAUUGAAGAUAUAAUGUAUGGUUUCCAAGUAGAAACAAUGGGUAAGGAAGGAAACAAGUUCCUUUAGAUUUUAAGAAGAAAAACGCCUAAGACCUUGAAAGAAAGUGGUCGAGACUAUACCUAUGAUCUCUACUGAUCAAAACUAUGCUACAGAUCAGUAUGAUAAAGAGGCAAGAGAUGUGGUAACCAUAUUGAGAUAACACCAUGAAAUUUUACACUAUAUGGCAUGAUAAGAUUAGCCAUCCUAAAUUCUAAACUUGAUGCAAAGAUUGAAAAGGCAUAGAGUUAUCCCGUAAAAGAUCUCACGUUGUGAAACAUGUACACAAAGAGAAACUCAUUAGGCUUAAUUGUCCCAAGCACCACGACCUUAUAGUAUGGUCAUGAGGGGGAGAGAGGAUAAACCCAUGAUCAAUACUACAAGUUCGUGUACCACUAUGGUCUAAGACACCAUGUUAUAUGGCUAGGCCAUUACCCGGCUAAAGAGACCAUAAACGGCUCGGCCGUGACUUGGUCGUGACUUGGCCGCAUAGUGCAGGCUUGGCCACACACGUUCCAUUACCUAUAAAAGGUUCGGCCUUGUAAGCCAUUAUCUAUAAGACUAAGAUUCUAAAGUCUAUAAGCUUGGAGACAUUAUGAAUUGACAUGUAUAAGAAUGAUAAUAUGCAUCAGACCAUAUAAGUGAGCAUAGAUAUUCCCAUCUCAGAUUAAAUACGGGUCAUAAAGCCAGACAUACACCAUCUUAAAAGAUUUUGAAUAAACCACCACAUACAUACAUGUGCCGUCUAAGAUGGAACCUCAGAAGAGGAUUGAGAAUAUAUAAGAAUAAGAUCUUCUCCACGAAUUCAAAAGGACCGUGAGCCAAAACAUGAGUGAUCAAAUAGUGGCCAGGUACGGAUUGCAUGAAACAAAUGAAUCCGAAUAUUAAAGGAAAAAGAUUAAAAGCUGGAUACAUAAAUAUUAAAAAGUAAAAGAAUGAAAAGAAUGGUUUUAACCAUCAUUGUCUUGGCAAAGAUCCUCGGACUAUACAUUAUGAUUUAAGACGUCCAAAGAAAGAUUAUACAAAGUUAGAUAAUCGAAAUGCCAGACACUGACCCGAGAAAUGACUAACCAGCUUAGCACCAAAUGAAUGUCCUAGAAGAGACAUAAUCAAGUUGCUAUAGAGUCUAUACAAGAUAGACCAAGUAUUCCAUAUGAUAAAGGAAUCUCGGAUAGAAAAAUGGUGCAUAGAAUACAGAUCCGAGAUUAUAAGAGAAACCAUACCAGACAUUGAGAAAAGGCUGCGCAGCUACACAUUUAAGGUACCAAACCAUGUAGUCUUGGGACGCCAAGCUACUAGGUAAUAAAGGUCCUGGAUAAUAAGAUCUCAAAUCUAUAGAUCAUGUCUGGAACAUAAUGGAACCACAUGAAAGUGUCGACACACACACAAACAUUUGUAUAAAGAUACAUAAAGUUAUAGCACUUGAACAUAAAGAGAUAAGCGAGGAUCAUGAACCCACAAAUGAGUACUCAUACAAUCAUAAAAGAUCAUAGAGAUUAGAAAAGAUAAAACGUGGAGGUUCAAAGUAUCUAAAAGAGAGAUGGGCGUAUUGGCCAUAUACAUAUACAGAAACGCCAUCUGAUAAACCAGUGAAAUAUAUGGAUCUUGUGAGGUAAAGAAACCGUGAGAGAAGGCACAUGAUCAUGAGGUCUAAGAGUGUUCAUGUUUUCCUACUAACAGCAUUAGAUUAUAGCUUGUUACACAAGGUACUCACAGAGAUCAAAGGAACAGAUUAUAAGGAGAUAAACUCCUAUGUGGUGGUUGCUGCUACAGAUUUCGAAAUUGAAAAUGGUGUGGUAAUAAGAAUGAAAUUAGAUACAAAUGAUGUAGUAAGCAGCAUAUGGAUCACUAGAUAAGAUGAAAGAACAGCUUCGUUCCUAAGCUGAUUCAUGGACUGAAACAUAAAGCAGCUGCAUAUAGUAUGUAAAAGAAAUUGAUCAUGCAUGAUCAUUGAUCUUGGAGUUGUAUAAAAGACAAUCCAAUAUAGUCCAUAUAUUUGAAAUUCCUUGUGAUUAUACUAAACUUAAAAUAGGUUAGUAGGCAUAGAAUAAAUCUAUGUGGGUGUCCGACCAUAAGCGUCCGGCCCCGGCCCUUCAAACUAAAGAUGUCUGACUCUGUCCGUCUAAGGGCGUCUGGCUCUUCAGCAAAGAACGUCUGGCUCUUCUACUAGACGCGUCCGACUUUUAAGACUAAAAGGCGUCUGGCCCUUCUUCUUGAUCACAGGCUCGUAGAGACAAAAGAUCACCCGGAUACAUAUGUAUUGUAGUCCAUAAGCUAGUGAGAGCCGAGAUCUAUGACCUAAUAAUAUAUAUUUCAGUGUGUGAUAUAAUCCACAACAACAGAGGUCAUGAGACACCAUCAAGAGAUGGAUAAAGGACUACAAUGUCCGAGAUAGUUAUGGUACUGCUUAAGGCAAGAAAGAUCGAUGUCCACAUGUGAGAUACAUGAGAGUGUUCGGCCACAGAGCCAUAAUAAGAGAUUAUAAACUCACAGCAAUGAUCAUUGAUCUUGAACACUCAUGAGACAAGUAGUGGACAUGUAUAGAAGAGGUCUAUGACCCAGACAUGGAUCGGCCAGAUCGAGACACAAGUUCAUGAUAACCACGUCUAGUACACUGUCCAUAAGUACUUGGUUUAUCCGACCAUAGUAAAGAGUUAAGAGUAGACGAUCACGUCUAGACUAUGGACACAUGCAAACACGAUUUGCAAAGACCCAAUAGUGAUCUCUGAGAACAAUAUGGUUCACAUUGUUUAGCACACAUGCUUUACCGGGACACUCAAUGUCAAGAGACAUGAGAAACGACCUAAGAGGUCAAAGUGGUCUAGAUACGGCUUAGUAAUGAACUUGGCCGAUUACUCCCUUCCUACAUAUACAUGAAAGAUCACGCACCAGAUGCGUAGAAUGUAGAAACCUACACUGAGGUUCACAUCAUGGGGAGUAGUGCGUGUUGUACUCUUUUUCCUUCAUCAUGGUUUUGUCCCACUGGGUUUUCCUGAUAAGGUUUUAAUGAGGCAACAUGAAGCGUACUACAAAUCCUGUAUGGUUAUGGCAUCCAAGGGGGGGUGUUAUAAAUCAUGGAGUGGAUUGCCAUUAACCAGGCCCAGACCGAGACCGGUCCAAUACCUAGAAGAUGGAGAGAUGACCGAAGCCUAGAGAGAGGAGAGAGAGAGAGCCGACUUCAGGAGAGAGAAAGACGGCCACAAAGCUUGGAGAAAAGGAAACCCUUUCCUUUUCCUAGUAGAUGUAAUCUUUCCAUUAUUAUGUAUUAGUAGUUUUCCUAAUCCUAAUGAAUUUAGGUUUUAGAUACUUUCCAUUUAUCUUCAUCUUGGAACCCCUUUAUCAUUAAUAAUAACACAGAAAUAUUCAGUCUUUAAAACUCUCUAAUUACAACAAUUAGAUGUUUCCUUUUCACUUUUAUUUUUCAAGGUUUUUACAACGUACUUACGCUAUUGCUGAAAGGAUCGAGAAUAUGAACAAGAGACUUUGCUACGCAUUUAUCCCUACAUGGAAAUUCAGUAAGAUGCUAUAUAUAGGAGAGAUACAUCUUUCUUGAUAAUAAGUUUAUUUCUUCAAAUUAUCAUAACGUAUGGGCUUGCUCUCCCGCCUUCAUUGAUUUCUGAUAAAAUUUAUACUAUUUAAUAGCAAAAUAGAUAGUUGAACAAUAUUGAUUAAUUACGUAAAUUCCUAAAUUGUAUGCUUCCCUCAAAUGUUGUGACUAGUAUGAUAGGAACAGACAACUGAUAAGAUGAAUGGUUCGUUUUAAAAUAUGAGUAAUAGAGUCGAAAAGACGUUGACAAAUACCAAAAUAUUGGUAACACUGGUGAACCACUUGCUUUAAAUUAAGGAGAGUUAUUGUAAUUUGAGAAUUUUGAAAGUGAUGAGGUUAAUAAAGUAAUCAAAAAGGUAGUUGGAGCGUUGGCUUUUGUAGAGUAAUAUAACUUUCGUGACAUUCAACGGCGGGCUACUUUGGAAGACUACGUUCCAAUUUCCAUGACCUUCAGUUAGCUAAUUAGUAAUUACAUUACACAUCAUAACCUGUUAACGUACAUUUAGUUUUAUAGCAAUAGCAUAUACAAAUAUAUUCAAUAUUUUCCACCAAGAGUGUUGGCUGAUGUAGACACAAAACUAUUCUAAAAGAACCAAACAAGAUAAACUCAUAAUAAUCAGUGAUAAUGAUAAAUAUGACUCAUUAGAAAGAAAUAUUCAUUCUGUUCCAUGAAAAUGUUUUUUUUUUAGAAUAUGACUAGGAUAGCACUAAAAAAGUUUUUGUCACAAAUAUAGCCUUUAAGAAUAAAAAUAACCAAAAUAGCACUUAAUGUUUUAUCAAAAAAGAUAAAUAUACACUUAUACCCCAAUGGUAAAUUAAUUUAGACAUUAGGGUUUAGAGUUAAUGGGUGGGGUUUAGGAUUUAGGGUUUAGGGUUUAGAGUUUAGGAUUUAGGGUUUAGAGUUUAGGGGUGGGGUUUAAGGUUUAGGGUUUAGAGUUAUGGGGUGGGGUUUAGGAUUUAGGGUUUAGGGUUUAGGGUUUAGAGUUUAGGUUUUAGGGUUUAGAGUUGGGGAGUUGGGUUUUGGGAUAAGAUUUCAAAUUUUAAAAAAUAAAAAAAAAAUAAAUUUUUCAAAAGAUAAAAUGCUAUUUUGGUCAUUUUAGUUUUUGAAGGCUAUUUUUGUGACAUAAACUUAAAAAU